rnacentral:lncRNA from 1 species
CUUGACAGAAAAUGAUUAGAAAGGCAUGCAUGUAACAAAUACAAAUGAUAUAUGAUAUAAGAUUUUCAUGGAUUAAACAAAAAUACAUGGCAAAAUAGAAGCAGGAGGAUAAGGUCACAGACAGGACAAUAUCAAAAGAAACUAAUAUUUUUCUGACCUGAAAAUCGAGGCAUUCAGAACAGUAUACAUUUGUAAGUAGUCCAUGGAAACCAAGGAACAUGUGCAGAUGUUGUAUUCUAUUGCAUAAGGCAAACACGCAAUACUCUGUAGCAUAACCAAGGCCAGAAAAGCAUAUAUCCCUUUUUGUUUUGCUUUUUAACCUAUUCUCAUCUCUUAUGACCAGAGGUGGCAAGGAUGAUAUAAUCUCGCCAAAUAUGUAAGUUAGAAACCAGCCCAUCCAGCAGGUUGAGUAGCUGGUUUGCUCUCAAUCCUCUUUGAGUCACCAAACAGCUGGGCAUUAUUGCCUCCUACGGUGGGUCUGGAAAAACUAGAGCUGGCAGCAGGGGUGGGUGUAAAACUCUCUGUUCCAAAACCCCAAGUUUCAGGGCCAGAAGUUGCUUCUGUGGCUGGUUUGUUGUGAUGGCCAUUUCUGGUCCUAACAGACUUGCUAUUGUUGUCUGGGCAUGUCAGAGAAAGCUUGCCAUGGAUUAGAGCCUGGGCCAGGGGGAUUGUUAACCUUGCCAUGGGCGAAGCAGCAAUUUCUUAAGAAGCAGGGUGACAAAGAGUACCAUAAUUUGGACUAGUUUCAAUGGAAAUUCCUCUGUUCAUGAUAUCUUCAGCUUCAGCUUCAGCUUUUCCUUUUGCUUUUGACAUGGCUGAAACUGAUCCUGGAAUCAAAAAUCACAGACACAAUUAAAUAUUUAACAGAAAAGGAUCCAAAUCUCUUCAAUUGAUUAAUCUAUAAAUGAAUUAAUAAAAUUUUUUUAGAGAUAAUUGAAGGGAGAUGAACCUUAUACCUCUGAGUUUCUUAUUCAUAUUGAACAGAGCAAUGAGCAUCAGUUGUUCAGCACCCAGGAAUCUCCCUUCCUCCACGGCAAACACACCCCCCCCAAAAUCUGAACAAUCUAUCCUUUCUUCAGAUUCUACUUCCUUGGAAAAGUCAAAACAGGAAGAAAACAUGAUCAAAAUUGAGACAGAAAUAAGUGCAUCAACUAUCUCAAAAAGAGAUUUAUGCCUAUUGCUCACCUUCUGAAGAGGUCCUCUUGGUUAGCACACACAAUAGACCAAUUUUCCUUUUUUUCCUUGGACUCCCAAUCAGUGCAAGCUGCUGAGCCAAAGGAGAGUUCAAACAUCUAAAAAAUUUGAUUAAUUCAGUAUCAUAAAAAUACUUCACAUAAAUUCUAAAUGAUCUCAUUUCUAAAAAUAAAUUGGCCUAAAAUUAUUGUUGUUUACCUUACAUGUUUUUCCAUAGUCAUCGUCAAACUUCGUUUGUCAUAAGAAAUCUUCUAUGCCAUCCUAUUUACUUAUUACAAAACACUGAAAGGGAAAAAAACACCAAAAAUGAUGAUUAGCUUGGUUUGAUAAAUUUAGCACACACGAUUCCCUUUUUCUUCCAUAAGAAAGGAAAGAGUAAAAAAUAAAAAUAAAAUUUGAAUUGAAUAACUUUUUGAAAUUCUUAAUUAUAAAACUAUUCUGGUUCUCAAAAAAUUUAAAGGAAAAGUCAUAAACUUUUUCUCUUUGUUGAUUGUUUAUGGAAAAAUUGAUGGAAAAACCUAAAUCUAUGAGGAAUUUAUUUAACACUUUUGAGGAACCAAAAAUGUUUUAGAUGUUAUCAAAUCCAUAAUUUAAAUUAUUUACUUCCAUGUAAAUGAGUUUGAUCAAAGAAAUGAAAUUGUGAAUAAAAUCAUUUUAAAAGCCUUGAAAUUCAAGCCAUUAAAGUUGUCCAUGUUCGAAUUUAAACAAGUUUAAAAACAUGGAAUUGUCCAUAAAAUCAUUUUAAAAAGCAUUAAAUAAAAUAUUGAAUCAUAAUAUGCAAUUAUAAAUCUUAUAAUUUGGUAUAUUGGAGCAAAAUAAAAAUAAAAAUAAAAAUUAAAUUACACACUAAUAAAGUAGCUAACUAGAAUUCAUCCUUGAGUUUGCUCUCUGCCUUGUAUAUAAGAAACAACAGAGAAUAUGAAAAAAAAAAAAAAUCCAUGUUUUAAAUUUUUUUUCUUAAUUUUUCGAUAGUUAUAAAUGGUUCAUUUGGUAAACAGAGCAUGAAAAAUGUGAGUACCAUUAGAAUAAGACAAUCCUCCUCUGCUUUUCUUCAAUAUUUGUUUUAGGCUAGAAGCUUCAAGAAAAAGAAAAUCUUAAAUCAAAUAAACAGGACUAGCAAAUGAAUUGGAACAUAAAUAUUUUUUUGAAGAAAAUAAGUUCAUGCACAAAAGAAUUACUUGACUGUAUAUUGGUGGAAUGACACUUUGAUUAAUAUAGCACAUAAUUGAUAAAUAUUUCUAGAAUAUGAGAUAUAUAACGCCAUUCUUUCCCUUUCGAUUGAUUGUAAUAUUUGACAAAGGGUAGUCUUAUACACCUUUGUACGCUUAAUACAUUUCCCUUGUACAAUUAGUGUAAUACAAUUGUACAGUGACUCAAUAAAUGAAUAAAUGAUUUUUUUUAAUUUUCAUAUAAAAAAAUAGUACUAAACAAGGUUUUCAAUUUUCAUGUUUUUUAAAAUAGUUUUAAUUUUUUAAUUAAACGUAUUUUCAAAAAGAGACAAUAUAUAAAAUAAAAAUUAUUUUUAAAAAUAAAAACUAGAAAAAUAUUUUAAAACCAAAUUCAAAUAUAAUCCAUAUAAUUUUUAACUACUUGUUUUCAUUUAAAAUAAGUAAAUAUACAUUUCAACCCUUUUAUAUAAGAAAAAUUCAAUCUCUACUAUGUAUUGAUAUAAUUCAGUUCUAAAAUUAGGUUAUAUGAAAACAUUUUAAUUGAGUAUUUAAAAUAAAAACUUUUCAUCCAUCCUCUUUCUUUCUUUUUCUUUUUCUCAUUUUAAUAAUUUUUUAAUUAAUUCAAAUGAUUAAAAAAAAAAUCCUUAGGAAACAAAUUUGUAACAUUUCAUAUAACUUAUUACUAAAAGUCAUGUUCAAAAAGUUAUUGAAAUAAAGAAGAAAGAAGAUUAAAAAAAAUUAAACUUUUUAUUUUAUAAUAGUAAAAAAAAAACUUUAAAAUACUUUUUAAUAUAAAAGAAAUUAAAAUAGUAAAUAUAUUUAUUUUAAACAGUGUUUUAAUCAUUAAAUUAUUUACUUCUAAAAUAUGAUAAAAAUAAAUGUAAAAGAUAAUUUUUAUUUAUUUAAAUUAAUAUUUUUUUAGAAAGUAUUUUCCAAAGUAGUCUUUGAAUCAUUAAUAUAAAUUUUGUUUAUUUAUAAUUUAAAAAUAAAAAAUAAUGUUGGUUUUUCAAUUAUUUAUAAAAGAGUUUAAACAAAUAAUGAAAAAUCUAAAAAUGGUUAAAUAAGAAAGAAUAGUGACAUAUGAAGGGUGGUAGAAUAAAGACAAAAAUGAGUCAAAUGAGUAUUUUUGUCAAUUAUUAUCUCACAUCCUUGUAAUCAAUUAUGGGUGGUUGGAAGAAUUCACCUUAAUUAUCAAGUUUUUAUGGGUUUAAAACACAAUUGUCCGUAAAAAAAAAAAAAAACAAAAGCCACAUAGCAUAUUCUAGGUUUUUUUUUUUUUUUUUUUUUUAAUUUUAAUUUUAAUUUUAAUUUUUAGUUUUUUUCAUUUCCUCCUUUUUUAUGUGUUUUCUUUUAAUUAUUUUUCUUUUUUAAUAUACUCAUUUGUUUUGCUACGAUUGUUAUUAUAAUAAAAAAAAUAUUUGUUUCAAUAUUAAUAUUCUAAUAUUAUUAAUUUUAUUAUUAGUAUUUAGUAGUAAUAAUAAUAUUUUUUAUAAUUACAAUCAUUAAUUUCAUUUCUUAUUAUUAUUAAUACAAUUUAUUAAUAUUUUCAGUGAAAGCACAUAAAAAUCACUAUUUUUUUUUAGAAAUAUAUAUAUUUUUAAGAAAUAUAUAUCUAUAUACAUGCUAAAAAUGAAGGUAGGUAUAUUUUGAUCACAAAAGCACAAGGUUGAGGAGAUUUUCUAUUUUUAUUUUUUAUUCCUAGGCUUGAAGGAUCAUUUAUAGGGGCUAGGGGAGUCUUCUCUCUGCAAUGGAAAAAGCUUAUAACUUAGGAUGUGCCAUAAAUUAAUGUAUGAACUAUGAACCUAUGCAAGCUUUUUUAAAUACUCAAUGAAGGGUGGAUUCAUUAGUUGAUCAUAGGGUCUAACAAUAAUCAUACGAUAGACCUGAAGUAAUUAACUAUUUAAUAUAAAAUAUUAAUUUCCAUUUAAGUAUACAAAUCAAUGAAGUUAGUAACUUACUAAUAGAAGGGUAUAAAAGAAGGAAAAUAAAAAAUAAAUAAAUUUAAAACUAAUAAAUUAUUUUUAUAUGCUACUAUACUCAUUUCACUUAUUUAACUUCUACAUAAUUUGAAAAUGUAUAAGUUAUUAAUUAAUUUUAAUCAUAUUUUACUAUCUUUAAUAUUUUAGACGAUACAAUCAAACAUGAAAAAAUAAUUUUUUUUAAUAUUUUUUUCAAUCGUUAAUGCUUUUCGGGAACUGAACAUAAUCUAAAUCUUUGAUAGUAAUAUGGAUUCAUUAAUUGCAUAUUAUGGAAGAACAUCAAUCCCUUGAUAGAGACUAAUUAAAUUAUUUGAUCACUUAUCUAAGAUAGCUUAUUGUUAUAUAAAAUCUAAAAAGAUUAUAUGAAAUAUAAUCAAGAAGAUAGGAAAAUAUUUUCAUACAAAUGAUAGAAAAGGGCAAUGAUUCAAGAUGAACCGACAAAGAUUCCAUUUUUUAUCAGCAUACUAUGUCUCCAAAUCUCGUCUUCCCCUUAAUCAAUGAGUUUGAACUCCCCAUUUUUGGUGAGUUCAAUCUUAGACCCUUAUGCCACUUCUUUAUCUGCAUACCAAAUUAUUGUUUGGUAAUCCAUGUUCACUAAUUGCACAUGGAAGAACAUAAUUAGUCCCUUGAAACAAACUAAUUAAUAUGAUCAAUCAUCUUCUAAGAUGCCAUGUUACAUAAAAGUUAACAAAAUUAUGCCACUUUUUUAAAUUUUUCCUUAGGGUGUCAAUGUCAUAAUGUGGGUACAAACUGACAGUAUAGGAACAAGGACAUUGAUAAAAUUUACAAAGAAAAAUUGGAAAUGUAUUCAGAGAAGUAGCAUCAAUUGCCUAGGGAAUAAGUGUCUGUAGAUGUUACUCUUUAGUCCCCAGUAUGCUUGAAACAAACUGGAGGCCGAUCAGUUUCUUACAGUAUCAGAAGACAGCAGCCACAGUUACAGCUACAACUAACCACACAAAGAGAUUGAAUAACACUGAGCUGCAAAGAAGUAGUGACCCAAAAAGGAUCAAGGUAGACUUAUCUGGGCCUGUCUGCAAGCCUUUUGCUCUGUCUUCCACAGGAGAGAAGAAAUCUCUUCUGCCAACACAUUGUCUGUAUAAAUGGCUACUGCACAGAAGCAAUCCUCUUUAUUCUCCUUGUCAACAGUCAGUCCAAUCUGAAGUUCAUUAUUGGAGAUUUGCCAACCUGUGUUGGUUACCAAUCAAGAAAAACUUGGUAGAAUUAGCAUAGAAUAUGUAAAAACUGGAAAAUCACCAUGUUAAUUUUAGCAGGUCCUUCAACAAGUACAUUCUAUAUGAUUUUCAGCUGCUAGAGAAGUAUGAGAAAGAAAAUUAUGAGAAUGUCAACCAGUGGAAACUAAUGUCCUCAAGUAACUUCUCUCAAUAUCCUUUUCCUUUGUGACAAUAUUAAAGACCUAUGGUUACAAGUUACAACUUAAUUUUCAUCUCCGGACUUACAAUGUGAACAUACUUGAGAGUCUGAUUGUAACUUGACCCAACCAAGCAAGGGCCAUCCGUACUUCAUACCAUUGAGGUUGGUCGAUGGAAUUGAGUCACAUAAAAUGUUCAUCUUCAGUAUUUGGGUUAACUAAUUGUCAAAUAUGCCCUCAAACGAACUUUCCUGAGAUUGAAUAAGCUCAAAAUAUAGAAGAGUAAAUUUUCUAAAGCAUGAAGAUGAGGAAUAAGCUCAAAAUCAUCACUUCUAUACAAAAUAAGAAAGUUAGAUGAGAGAAUUACACUCGAAUGCUUUAAGAUAAUAAGAACAUUAAAAUAAGAAACGGAACGCCAAAGUCUUAUAGUCAAGACAAUUUGAUUAAAAUAUUAUUUAUGGAAGUUCUGUGGUAUAGACCUUCAUUUAGACUUGGAUUUUUUAAUUUUCUUUAUGAAUAACCAAUUGGCUCCUGCUCAAAUGAAAAAUGAGAACCAAUGCUCAUAGUCACAGACAGAAGUGUAGGCAUGGCAAUGCCAAUUUUGCAAAUGAUCAUCUAGUCAUAUCAAACUCUGUUCUCAUGGUAAGUCUUCUAUGCUGAUCCUUGUUGCUUAAUAUGAGACAUAAAAGAAAAGAAAAGAAAAGAAAAAGUAGUGAUUAAUUUAUUUUGAUAUCGAAGGGAUAAAAGUUACAACAUGUACAUUACAUAUGUAGCCAACUAAGAACAUAUUAUGAUGUGGGUAAGAUUCAAUACAUAUUUCAAUAACCAUAAAAUGUAUCCACAUGUUCUUAUAGGAGAUAAACACACAAAUAGUUAAGAGUCAUCUCUACCCAUUCAAAAAGGUAAAUUGAAGAUGUCAUGAAAAAAAUGAUAACUGGCUUCAUUAAAAUGUGAAUUACCAAGGAUCAAUCUUUCUUUACUCUUCUUCUCUUCAUUAGAAAAUUCUUAAAUAAAAAAAACAAAACAAAACAGAACAGAGCAUGCUGCACAACCAAAUUCCCCGCAACAAGACUAGAAAAUGCAUUAUGCAGACAUGCAACUCUAGAGAUUGUUAGAAAUUUUGAAACAUGAGUACUUGGACAACUACUUUAUGAAUUGGAACUUAACUUUUCUGAAGAAAAUAAGUUUAAGCAUAGAAUAAAUUACCUGACUGUAUAUUGAUGCAGUAACACUUUCAUUAAGAUAACAGAUCAUUGAUCACUAUUUUUGGAGUUGAGAGAGGGCAAUUCCAUAUAUAAAAGGUCAUGGGAUUAUGUUCCCUUUGGAACUCGAUUUUGCUUGUCAAUAGCCCGUCCAAUAUGAAGUUCAUAAUUAUAUGAACUCCACUGUCUGCUCUCCCUUCAUCUACUUGGCAACUGGGCAGUUGAAAAGAUUUGAUCUUUAAAAUUUGUAUCCAAGAAAGAAUACCUAUACAGGCAACAAUUUGAACAACCUCCCCUCUUCAUCAAACAAUACAAUGACUAUUAAAUCCACAAAUCCUACUACUAUGGCUAUUGGUUCCUAUGCUACAAAUGUAAUUAGGAAUUGCCUGCACAAUGGACCAAGAAAGAAGCAUUUGUUUUUAAGAUCAUAAGCUUCUAUAUAUAAGUAAAGCAUCUUAUACAAAAAAGUGUAGAUUUACCUUGUGCCUUUAAAAAUCACUUUUUGAGAAAUUUUAAAAUUUGAUAUAGUAAAUUUUUUUUGAUACCUUGAUUGUUUUAAACAGUUUUUAAAAUUAUUAAUUUUUCAAGAGUUAAAAUACAAAAGUUACUAUUAUUUUAUGAUUUUAAAAACAAAAAACUGGAAGUAUAUUGAAAAGACACUUUAUUUUAGGCUUAAGGAGGUCAUAACCUUAACAAUGUAGGAGAUUUAAGUGAUUCUUGAACGGAGGCAAGGAAUUAAUCAGAUAUGUUCUUAAGAUUAGAAAUUUAGGUGGAACAUAAAUUUUGUAAAGAAAUUAAGUUUAAGCACUGAACAAUUACCCGCCCAUGUGUUGGUGCAGUGCCACUUCCAUCAAAAUAGCACACCAUUGAUAACUAUUUUUGGAAUGUGAGAUAUAUAACGCCAUUCUUGCCCUUUCUCGAAUUGGCAUCGUUGUUCCAGUAAAGGACACCAUCUGACAUAAAGCAAAGAGAGGGAGUCUGGCAGUCUCUCUUUUGUCAAGUAAUGGAGAUUAGGGCAAUCCAAGAGAGUUAAGGUUUCAAGAGUGGUGAGGUGAUGAAGACCCGCUUCUGUCAAGGAUUGGAGCCUUAUGCACCAGUCGAUUCUUAAUUCCUUGAGAGAGAUAAGGCGUUGAAGAACAGAUCCUGUCGAGAAUUGGAGUUCAGGGCAAUUCCUGAUCUCUAAUUGUAGAAGAGAGGUGAGUUGUUGAAGCGCCUUGUUGUCAAGAGACUUGAGAUUUGGAAGAUCCCAGAUUGAAAGAUAAGUUAGAGAAGAGGGCAGCAGACACUCCUUGGGAAAUAAUUCCACGCUUUCACAUCCACCUUUGAUUGUGAAAUGAGUAAGAGAGGUCAGUGUUUGCAAAUCCCAGUCCACCUGGAAUGUGAGUUGGUUGUAGAACCAAAUUUGAAAAUCCCACGCAAAUGUAGUUUCUGCAGAGAUGAAUGGGUGUGCGUCAGCAAUCUGAGCUUGGAGCUCUUGCAUAUCUCAUGGCACAUCGAGUCGAGAGCGGGCAGUUGGAUGUAUACAAGAUUAGGGCACCCUUCGAUUCUCAAUCUACGAAGAGAUGUGGGAUCCUCCUCUGAAAUCGAGAUGCAGAGCUCUUCCAGCCCCUUAAGAUCAUUUAUUUGGAAAUCAGUCAACCUGGGGAAGAUGUCCAAUAUUGAGAAGGACAGCGAGAGAGAAUCACAGGUACUACCAUUGAUUGAUAGAUUUUCGAGAACUGGGUGAUGGCAUCUGAACAACUCAGGUAAAAGAAGGUCCACUUUGGUACAGUCAGAGAUUGAUCGUGAUUUCAACGUAGUGGGUAAACCAACUUUGUACAGGGAUCUAAGAAAACUACAAUCAGAAAUGUACAGAUAAUGUAUGUUGGUUUGCAAGAUUUCCUUCUUUAGAAGAGACUCCACAUAAUCACAUUUUCUAAUUGAGAGACAUUUGAAAUUUCAAUUUCUGAAGUUUGAAGAGCUGUGAAGCCACAAGUUUGUCUUUUCAACCACAAUCUACUGGCAGCAGGAACGUUGAGUGUAGGCACAAGCAGUUGUGGGCAAUUUCCAAGGGAAAGUUCCUUCAAUGAAGGAAGGUGUAUUGGUAAUUCCCCAGUGAAUUUGGGACACCUCCAUAUAGAAAGCUUCUGGAGACGAGGGAAUUCUCCAUGUCUGCCUCCACAACAUAACCAUUUCUCCCAAUUGGACAUAGAGGAAAAUGAUAGAGUUUGCAGGGAUGGGAAGAAGGGAUGAAGCGAGGAAGAAGAAUUCCCAUAAAACUCACUACCCACCGUCACUACUCCUUUCAUUCCAAAGAUCUCUAUAUGUUCAAGACAAGGUAGCUGCCCCAGUGGCGGCAAUAUUAAGUAAUUCCCACAAUACGAAAGCUGAAGGGACAUGAGAUUUGAAAAUGAUCCAUCUCCAAGCCAAUCUGGAAAUGUUAGACCAGGAUAGUGUUGAAUGGACAGUUUUUUUAAAUUUGGAUGAUGUAUUAGCCUGUUGAGAAUAUCAUCUUGUAUAGCAUCAUGACUAAUCCCGCAACUCCAAUUCAAGGAUAACUUAUCAAGGUAUUUCUUAUCCUUCAUAUUUGCUUGCAAUGCAUCCUCAACACCCACCACAUUCUCCAUUUUUGAAAUUUCAAGUCUUCCUCCAAUCUCUAAGAGCUUCCUCAAUUCUCCAAUUCUGAAUCCACUUUUUUGGCCCAUGGUAAAAUUAGACAACUGCUACAAACUUUUUAAUUAAUCUAUAUCAUUUGGCAUUUCUUUCAAUGAAUCAGUCCCAUUAAUAUUAAGAUAGAGCAAAUUAAUCAACUUCCCCAUUUUUAAAGGCAAUUCAAGAAGAAAGAGACAUUUACUCAGCAUCAUUGUUUGUAAAUUGCAUAAACAACAUAUUGAUUCAGGUAAUCUUUCAAUCAUUGUUGUAGAGAGAUCCAAGUAACGCAACUGUUUUAAGUUGUUAUGCGGUAUUCACACAAUGACAACACGCGCAAAGAUUUAAAUUUUGGUAAUAUAUUUUGUAAAACUCUUGUACUCAAUGUAUAAAAAGGAUAGUGCAAUAAUCUCUUCACCUUUAAGACUGUUCUGAGAUGUUUGGCUUCACCAACAGACUCAAAAUUUUCAAAUACAACUUCCCGGUCAUUGUCACUUUUAAAGUAGAGAAAAUGGCGAGCCUUAUCCGAUAUUUUUUGCACCUUAUAAUCUUCCAAUCGAAUGCAAAAUUCUUGGGAGAUAUGUUGAGCCAAGUCAUGUAUUAAAUCAUGCAUUACAAAGCAUGAUUCUUCUCCUCUAAUGCAUUUUUGAAAAAAAGACUUUGCUAAAAGUUCAUUAAAAUAUGAAUCACCUACCUCUUCCAUUCUUCUGUUACUUUGUCCUGAGUGUAAAAGCCCUUGUGCCAUCCAUAAUAGAAUUAGCUUCUCUUUGUGGAAUUCAUAGUCCUUGGGAAAAAUUGAACAGUAAGCAAAACAACGCUUCACAUGUAGAGAAAGAUGCUGAUAACUCAAUCUAAGAGAUGGAAGAAUUUCAUGAUCAGUUUGAGAAUGCCAUGUUUUGCUAUUCAAAAUAUAUUCCCAUUCUCUUCUUUUGGGCUUAGCGUACAAGAGACUCCCGAGUGCUUUUACAGCCAAAGGCAAUCCUUGGCACUUCUUCACAAUCUCUCUGCCUAUGGGUUCAAGCUGAGGAUAAGCGCAGGAGUCUCCAUUGGAAAUGCAAGUUUGGUAAAUAGGGACCAACUAUCUUCAGGGCUUAAUGUUCCCAGCUGAUGAGUAUGGAUUGCACGCAUGACUUUUGCAACAGUUUCGCUACGACUGGUCACAACAAUCUUGCUUCCCUGGGCUGCAGCGAGGAGUGGAGUUCGUAGUCUAUCCCAACUUUCCCAAUCAAGAGACUCCACAUCCCAGACGUCGUCGAGAACCAGCAGAAAUUUCUUGUUGCCAAGGUUGUCUUUGAGUCGACGUUGAAGUAAAUCUAGGCUGUCAUCGGAAGUAGGUCUACAACCGAUCGCCUCAAGAAUUGAUUUGGUUACACCGAUAAGAAGAAACUCAGUGGAAACACAGACCCAUGCUUUCAGGUGGAAGUGUUCCUUCACUCUGUCAUCGUUAUAGAGAAGGUGAGCGAGUGUGGUCUUGCCGCUGCCGCCCAUGCCCACUAUGGACAUCACAUCUAUGACGUUGUUGCCUGUCGUAGUUUCCUUGUCAGAAAGCAACCACAUCACCAUCUCCUCCUUAAUUUCAUCCCUGCCAUACACGAAGGACUCGUCUACCAAAGAAGAGGAUGGUAAUUUUGGUGACAGUCUCUCACCAUCACCUUCUUUCAGCCCAAGCUUCUCUUUUUCUUCAGCGAUAUCUUCAAGCUUAGCAGUCAUCUCCUUCACCCUGGACUCCAUGCUUUGAUUGGAAAAUGGAGCCUUAACCCUGGUAGAGAACUUGUUCCACACCUGAUAAAUUCCACCAGGUUGGGAGUCAGCAACUUCAAUCUCGCACCGCAAGGCUUCGGUAGCGAUCUCGUCCAACAGGUCCUCCGCAUGAUACACAGCAUCCUUAACCUGGAAUAGCCACUCUUUGACUAGUGGGUCUGAAAUUUGCUUCAUCUCCGCAUCAUUGAGCACUUUGUGGACAACCAGCAAUUUCCUCUUCAAUUUGUUGAGGAGUUCAUGGCUAAGCUUCUGUCCCCGGAUGAAGUUCAUCAACUCCGGAGAAGCCAACCUGUCGAAUAGAACUUGAAGUGAAGCGGAGAGGAGUACACCCAGGCACAAAUAUCUAAAGCCGUAUUUUCAAAAAAAUUUGGUUACCAACCAAGAAAUACCAUGUGGUUUUGGCCUCUUAAAUAUUCAAUCACAAGUACAUUCUAUAUGAUUUUAAGCUACUAGAGAAGUAUGAAAAAGAAAAUUAUGAGAAUGUCAACCAGUGUGGAAACUAAUUUCCUCAAGUAACUUCUCUCAAUAUCCUUUUCCUUUGUGACAAUAUUAAAGACCUAUGGUUACAAGUUUCAACUUAAUUUUUGUCUCCGGACUUACCAUGCGAACAUACUUGAGUCUGAUUGUAACUCAACCCAACCAAGCAAGGGCCAUCCAUAGUUGAUACCAUUGACGUUGGUUGAUGGAAUUGAGUCACAAGCUAGUCCAGCUUGACUAAAAGUCAAGUAUACUCUCAAAACGAACUUUCUUGAGAUUGAGAACAAACCUUGUAUCAUAAAAAGUUCAGAAGAAUAAAUCCGGAGAAUAUUUAAUAUAGUCAACAACGAACUCUUCUUCUUCAUAAGAGCUGGUGAAUUAGCUCAUAAUGUAGAAGAGUAAAUUUUCUAAAGCAUGAAGAUGGGGAAUAAGCUCAAAAUCAUCAUUUCUAUACAAUAUCAAAAAGUUCAAUGAGAGAAUUGUACUCAACUACUUUAAGAUGAUAACAACAUCAAAAUAAAAAACAGAACCGCAAAAGUCUUAUAGUCAAGACAAUUUAAUUACAAUAUUCGUCGUGGGAAUUUUGCGGUAUAGACCUUCAUUCAGACUUGGACUUUUUAAUGUUCUUUAUGAAUAAACAAUUGGCUCCUGCUCAAAUGAAAAAUGAGAACCAAUGCUUAUAGUCACAGACAGAAGUGUAUGUACGCAUGGCAAUGCCAAAUUUGCAAAUGAUCAUUUGGUCAUAGUCAAGACCAAGAAAAUCCAAAACAAGAACAAUAGAAACAUGUGUACCAACUACAUAACAAAGAAAUGUGUCAAUCUGCUCACCUUUUGAAGGUUGUCCACUGGGUUAGUGCAAAAUAGACUGACUUUUUUUAUAGGGGCCCUCAAUCAGUGCUGGAUGCUGAACCAGAAGAGAGUUUAGAUACUAAAAAAUUCUAUAAAUUUAAUACCAUAAAAUACCUCACAUAAAAAUGUUGCUUUUGGAACUGUAGUUUUCCAAAUGUUCCCAAAUUUAAAAAUACAUUGGCAUAAAGUUAUUGAUGUUUACCUCAUAUUUUUUUCCAUGGUCAUAUCAAACAUUGUUCUCAUAGUAAGUCUUCUAUAUGCUGAUCCUUGUUACUUAAUAUGAGACACAGAAAAGAAAAAGUAGUGAUCAAUUUAUUUUGAUAUCAAAGGGAGCAAAGUCAUAACAUGUACAUUACAUAUGUAGCCAACUAAAUACAUAUUAUGAUGUGGGUAAGAUUCAAUACAUAUUUCAAUAACCAUGAAUUACCUAAAAAUGUAUCCACAUGUUCUUACAAGGGAUAAACACACAAGUAGCUAAAAGUCAUCUCUGCCCAUUCCGAAAGGUAAAUUGAUGGUGUCAUGAAAAUAUGAUAAAUGACUUCUUUAAAAUAUGAAUUAUCAUGGAUCAAUCUUUCUUUACUUCAUUAGAAAAUUCUUAAAAAGAAAAAAAGAAAAAAAAAAAAAGAAAGACAGGAUUGAGCAUGCUACAUAACCAAAUUCCCAAUAAGAAGACUAGAAAAUGAGUUAUGGAGACAUGCAAUUGUAGAGAUUGUUAGAAAUUUUGAAACAUGAGUACUUGGGCAGCUACUUUAUGAAUUGGAACUUAACUUUUCUAAAGAAAAUAGGUUUAAGCAUAGAACAAAUUACCUAACUGUAUAUUAAUGCAGUACCACUUUCAUUAAAAUAGCAGACCAUUGAUCACUAUUUUUGGAGUUGAGAGAGGGCAAUUGCAUAUAUACAAGAUCAUGGGAUUAUGUUCCCUCUGGAACUCGAUUUUGUUUAUCAAUAGCCCGUGUACCACAUUCUUUUCUGCUCCCCCUUCAUCUGCUUGGCAACAGGGCAAUUGAAAAAAAUUUCGUCUUUAGAAUCUGUACCCAAGAAAGAAUACCCAUACAGGAAACAAUCUGGACAACCUCCCAUCUUCAUCAAGCAAUACAAUGGUUGUUAAAUCCACAAAUCCCACUACCAUGGCUACUGGUGUCUAUGCUGCGAAUGUCAUCAGAAAUUUCCUACACGACAGACCAAGAAGAAGUAUUUGUUUUUAAAAUCAGAAGCUUCUAUAUAUAAGUAAAGCAUCUUAUACAAAGAGUAUAGAUUUAACUUGUGUCUUUAAAACUUACAUUUUAAAAAAUUUUAAAAUUUGAGAGAAUAAGAGCUUGUUGGACAAAGUUUUAAAAAAUAAUUUUUCAUUUUUAAAAAUGGAAAACAGUUUUAAAAAAUUAAUAACAUUGUUUGGUUAUUCUUCUCUAUUUCCCGUUUUUAAAAACAAAGUAAAAUAAAGAAUAUCUUCUAGAAAACAAGUAAAAGUUAUUUUCAUCUGUUUUUUAAAAUAAUAGAAAAACACAUGCAUUCUAUUAUUUAUCUUCUACAUAAAAUUAUCAUUUGUCAAUUAAAAUUAUCAUUUGUUUUUAAAAAAAUUGUUUCAUAAUGAAAAAAAAAUUAUUUAUCUUUAACUAAUAUAUAAUUGUGUAUUUAAUUUUUAUUUUUUUAAUAAGACUUAACUUGAAUUUGAUUUCAUAUUAUUAUAAAUUAAUUUUAUAAAAUAAAAAUAAUCCAUUGUUUUAAAUUUGAAAACAAUUUUUAAAAAUAAAUUUUAAAAAACACCACCAAAUGAGCCCUAAAUUUUUUUUGAUACCUUCAUUGUUUUAAACAGUUUUUAAAAUUAUUAAAUUUUCAAUGUAAGCCUUUAAGAGUUAAAAUACAAAAGUUACUGUCACUUAAUUUUAGGCUUAACAAUGUAGGAGAUUUAAGUGGAGGCAAGGAAUUAAGCAGAUAUAUUCUUGAGAUUAGAAAUUUGGGUGGAACAUAAAUUUUGUAAAGAAAAUAAGUUUAAGCACACAAAAAUUACCUGCCCAUGUGUUGGUGCAGUGCCACUUCCAUUAAAAUAGCUCACCAUCGAUCACUAUUUUUGGAAUGUGAGAUAUAUAACGCCAUUCUUGCCCUUUCUCAAAUCGGAGCUGUUGUUUCAGUAAAGGACACCUGCUGACAUACAGAUAAGAGAGGGAGUCUGGUAGUCUCUCUUUUGUCAAGUAUUGGAGCUUAGGGCAAUUGAAGAGAAUUAAGUUUUCAAGAGUGGUGACGUGGUGAAGACCCGCUUCUGUCAAGGAUUAGAGACUUUUGCACGAGUAGAUUCUUAAUUCCUUGAGAGAGAUAAGGCGUUGAAGAACAGAUCUUGUCGAGAAUUGAAGCUCAGGGCAGUUCUCGAUGUGUAAUUGUAGAAGAGAGGUGAGUUGUUGAAGCCCCUUGUUGUCAAGAGACUUGAGAUUUGGAAGACUAUAGAUUGAAAGAUAAGUUAGAGAAGAGGGCAGCAGACACUCCUUGGAAAAUAAUUCCACUCCUUCACAUCCACCUUGGAUUAUGAAACGAGUAAGAGAGGUCAGUUUUUGCAAAUCCCAGUCCACCUGUGACGUGAGUUGGUUGCAGCGCACUAUUGCAAGUUCCCGUAGGUUGGAAGGCAAACCCUCUCUGUGCAACAACAAUUCGGGACAAUCCUCUAAACCCAGUUUCUGCAGAGAUGAAUGGGUGUGCGCCAGCAAUCUGAGCUUGGAGCAAUUGCGAAUCUCAUGGUAUAUCGAGUCGAGAGUGGGCAGUUGGAUGUAUACAAGAUUAGGGCACCGAUGGAUCUUCAAAUUACGAAGAGAUGUGGGAUCUCCCUCUGAAAUCGAGAUGCAGAGCUCCUCAAGCCCCUUAAGACCAUUUAUUUCGAAAUCAGUCAACCUGGGGAAGAUGUUCAAUAUUGAGAAGGACAACAAGAGAGAAUCACAGGUACCGCCAUUGAUUGAUAGAUUUUCAAGAACCGGGUGAUGGCAUCUGAACAACUUAGGUAGAAGAAGGUCCAAUUUGGUACAAUCAGAGAUUGAUAACGAUUUCAAUGUACUGGGUAAGCCAACUUUGUUUGGGGAUCUGUAAAAAGAGCAAUCACAAAUUUCCAAACUGUACAUGUUGGUUUUCAGGAUUUCCUCCUCUAGUAGAGACUCCACAGAAUCACAUUUUCUAAUGUAGAGAAUGUGGGGAACCAUUGGAAGUUCCUUCAACUGAGAGACCUUUGAAAUUUCAAUUUCUGAAGUUUGACUAGCUGUGAACCCACAAGUUUGCCUUUUCAACUGCAAUUCACGGGCAGCAUGAACGUUGAGUGUAGGCACAAGCAGUUGCAGACAAUCUUCAAGUUUAAGUUCCUGCAAUGAAGAAAGGUGCAUUGGUAAUUCCCCAGUGAGUUUUGGACAUAGCCUUAUAGAAAGCUCUUGGAGACGAGGGAAUUCUCCACAUAUGCCUCCACAACAUAACCAUUUCUCCCAAUUGGACAUAUCUUCAAAUGAUAGAGUUUGUAGGGAUGGGAAGGAGGGAUGAAGCGAGGAAGAAGAAUUCCCAUAAAACUCACUACCCACCCUCACUACUCCUUUCAUUUCAGAGAUCUCUAUAUGUUCAAGACAAGGUAGCUGCCCCAGUGGCGGCAAUGUUGAGCAAUUCCCACAAUUCGAAAGCUGAAGGGAUACGAGAUUUGAAAAUGAUCCGUCUCCAAGCCAAUCUGGAAAUGUUAGACCAGGAUAGUGUUGAAUGGACAGUUUUUCUAAAUUUGGAUGAGGUGUUAGCCUGUUGAGAAUAUCAUCUUGUAUAGCAUCAUGACUAAUCCCCCGACUCCAAUUCAAGGAUAACUCAUCGAGGUAUUUCUUAUCCUUCAUAUUUGCCUGCAAUGCAUCCUCAACACCCACCACAUUCUCCAUUUUUGAAAUUUCAAGUCUUCCUCUAAUCUCUGAAAGCUUCCACAAUUCUCCAAAUCCGAAUCCACUUUUUUGGCCCACAGUAAAAUUAGGCAAUUUCUGCAAACUUUUUAAUUGAUCCAUAUCAUUUGGCAUUUCUUUCAAUGAAUCAGUCUCGCUAACAUCAAGAUAGCGCAAAUUAAUCAACUUCCCCAUUUUUGAAGGCAAUUCAAGAAGAGAUUGACAAUUCCUCAGCAUCAUCGUUUGCAAAUAGCAUAAACAACAUAUUGAUUCAGGUAAUCUUUUAAUCUUUGUUGCAGAGAGAUCCAAGUAACGCAAUUGUUUUAAAUUGUGUAUUGAAUUAGGCACAUCUGUUAUGUAGUAUUCACACAAUGACAACACGCGCAAGGAUUUAAAUUUUGGUAAUAUAUUUUGUAAAACUCUUGUACUCAAUUGAUAAAAAGGAUAGUGCUGUAAUCUCUUCACCUCUAAGAAUGUUCUGAGAUGUUUGGCUUCACCAACAGGCUCAAAAGUUUCAAAUACAACUACCGGGUACUCGUCACUUUUAAAGUGGAGAAAAUGGCGAGCCUUAUCAGAUAUUUUUUGCAGCUUACAAUCUUCCAAUCGAAUGCAAAAUUCUUGGGAGAUAUGUUGAGCCAAGUCAUGUAUUAGAUCAUGCAUUACAAAGCAUGAUUCUUCUUCUCUAAUGCACUUUUGAAAGAAUGACUUUGCUAAAAGUUCAUUAAAAUACGAAUCACCUACCUCUUCCAUUCUUCUAUUACUUUGUCCCGAGUGUAAAAGCCCUUCUGCCAUCCAUAAUAGAAUCAGCUUCUCUUUGUGGAAUUCAUAGUCCUUGGGAAAAAUUGAACAGUAAGCAAAACAACGCUUCACAGGUAGGGAAAGAUGCCGAUAACUCAAUCUAAGAGAUGGAAGAAUUUCAUGAUCAGUCUGAGAAUGCCAUGUUUUGCUAUUCAAAAUAUCUUCCCAUUCUCUUCUUUCGGGCUUAGAGUACAAGAGACUCCCCAGUGCUUUCACAGCCAAAGGCAAUCCUUGGCACUUCUUCACAAUCUCUCUGCCUAUGGGUUCAAGCUGAGGAUAAGCGCAGGGGUCUCCAUUUGGAAAUGCAAGUUUUGUAAAUAGGUACCAACUAUCUUCAGGGCUUAAUGUUCCCAGCUGAUGAGUAUGGAUUGCACGCAUGACUUUCGCAACAGUUUCGCUACGACUGGUCACAACAAUCUUGCUUCCCUGGGCUGCAGCGAGGAGUGGAGUUCGUAGUCUAUCCCAACUUUCCCAAUCAAGAGACUUCACAUCCCAGAUGUCGUCGAGAACGAGCAGAAAUUUCUUGUUGCCAAGGUUGUCUUUGAGUUGACGUUGAAGCAAAUCUAGGCUGUCAUCGGAAGUAGGUCUACAACCGAUUGCCCCAAGAAUUGAUUUGGUUACACCGAUAAGAAGAAACUCCGUGGAAACACAGACCCAUGCUUUCAGGUGGAAGUGUUCCUUCACUCUGCCAUCGUUAUAGAGAAGCUGAGCGAGUGUGGUCUUGCCGCUGCCGCCCAUGCCCACUAUGGACAUCACAUCUAUGACGUUGUUGGCUGUUGCAGUUUCCUUGUCAGAAAGCAACCACUUCACCAUCUCCUCCUUAAUUUCAUCCCUGCCGUACACGAAGGACUCUUCCACCAAAGAAGAGGAUGGUAAUUUUGGUGACACUCUCUCACCAUCUCCUUCUUUCAGCCCAAGCUCAACUUUUUCUUGUGCAAUAUCUUCAAGUUUAGCAAUCAUCUCCUUCACCCUGGACUCCAUGCUUUGAUUGGAAAAUGGAGCCUUAACCCUGGUAGAGAACUUGUUACACACCUGAUGAAUUCCACCAGGUUGGGAGUCAGCAGCUUCAAUCUCGCACCGCAAGGCUUCGGUAGCGAUCUCGUCCAACAGGUCCUCCGCAUGAUACACAGCGUCCUUAACCUGGAACAGCCACUCUUUGACUAGUGGAUCUGAAAAUUGCUUCAUCUCCGCGUCAUUGAGCACUUUGUGGACAACCAGCAAUUUCCUCUUCAAUUUGUUGAGGAGUUCAUGGCUAAGCUUCUGUCCCCGGAUGAAGUUCAUCAACUCCGGAGAAGCCAACCUGUCGAAUAGAGCUUGAAGUGAAGCGGAGAGGAGUGCGUCGGCCAUAUCUGUUGACUGUUGCUUUGCAAAUCAAAGGAACUCAACGAUUCAGUUCAGGAAAAAACGAAGGUAAGCAGAGGCAGAAUCACACCGCCAAACUGUAGUGGACUGGUUGGAACACGAGAUCCAAAUAUAAUGGAAAAAUAAAGAAGGCCACAGAGAGGCACAUGGGGCUGCACCAAACACCAAGAGAAGCACAUGGUCUGUCACCGUCGAGCAUGAAACCCAUGUUUUGUUUAUUAAUGACUCUAUAUCUUUUUCAAAUCCAUAUAUAAUUUUAUCUAUAACUUCAUGGAUGUUUUUUUUUCAAUUGUUAGUAUUGAUUUUCCAUUUUCUUGUUCUUAAUAUAUUGGCAAAUCAAAAUAUUUUAUUUUUAAAUGAGGUUAUUAAUUGAUCAAAUACUGGGGAUAUAUAUUUGACAUUCUUAAAUUACUUAAUUAAAUGAUCAUUUUUUUUUGAGAAAAUAUUAGAAUCUGAAAUGUUUAAAGUAGGAUGAAUGAUUUUCUAAAUAAUGGCAAGGGGAAAAAAAAUAAAACACUAUCACUUGCAAUGAUUUGGAAAUGGGGUUAAAAAUAUUGUUUUAAGUUUAUAAUGUUUUCAAUGUAUUACUUUUAUUAUAAACUUUUUAAAAUUAAAUCAAUUGGUGUUUAUAUAUAUAUAUAUAUAUAUAUAUAUAAUCCUUUAAUAUUAAUUUUUUAAUUUAUAUAUAUACUGAACCUCAAUGUUUCAGUUAUAGGUCAAGGGGCAGAUCUUUUGACAUUGGUCUAGGUCUUCAAUUUUUUCUAGAUUUGCUCUUUAGAAUAUUGUAUUUUAUUUACCAUUGUAAAAUAAUUAUUCAAGCUCUUAACUUGAAAAUAUUAAAAUAAUUUUUUAUGUUUUCAUAAUGAUGUAAUUGUGACACUCCCAACCAAAAAAAAAAAAAAAUUAAAAGAAAAAAAGGCCGGAACCUAUUAUCAAUGUUAUUUUCACCUUAAUUGGUUUUUGUCGAAGGCAUAUAUAACUUUUACUCACAUUAGUUCUAUGCCUACUUGGAUAUCCUUAAUUGGUUUUGUACAAACCAUAAUGAAUUUCAUUCAAUUUGAUCGAUUUUAUAGUUCUUUAGUUGAUAUUAAUCAUAAUGAAAGAUCGUCUAUAUUUGAAUGUUUCUAUACCUGUCAUAAAACUUCUCAUAAUUACAUCAUCACCACCUUCACUUCCCAAUCUUGAAGCCACCUUACAAGAUUCCUUAACAACACCAUUAUUCAAUUCAAAAAAUUUUCACAUAAAUUAAAUAUAAAAAAAAUAUCUUUUUUCUCAAUUUUUAUUAUUAUUUUUUCUUUUAUGAGUAUUUUUCAGGCAAAUAAAAAAGAGCCUAAAUAACUUGAAAAAAAAAUUAAAUAAUAAACCAAAGGAUGGAUUGGUAAAAUUAUUUAGUAUUAUUUAAUCAUAAUAAACAAAGGAACAUUGCAAAGAUUAUUAUAAGAUGCCUACUUAAAUUAAUAACAUUCACCUCACUUCCUUCCAUAUACACAAGAUUCAAAAAAUAAAAAAUAGAACAAGCCAUGUGCAUGGGAUUCAUUUAGUUUUAUUGAGAGAGUUGUGCCUGCCAUGUACACACACCAGAUUAAAGAAAUAAUGAAAGAUGAAAUAAGUCAUAGAAGGCUCAUGGGGCUGCUUAAAGCCUCAAAGAGAGAGAGAGAGAGAGAGAGGUUUUUUUUUUUUUUUGGAACUUUGAAGUUAGUGAUGAUUUAAGACUCAUGGAGUUGAUUGAACAUUAUGAUAGAACCAAACAGUCCAUAUUGUUUGCCAAAAACAAUUUUAUGAAAAAGCAACCCAGAAAGUUUGAAAAAAUAUGUAAGAAAAAGAAAAAGUGAAAAAAAUAAUAUUCAAAAUUAAUAAAUUAUUUAAAAUUCAUUUUACAUAUUUAACUCUUUAAUAUAAAGAUUAAAUAGUUUAAAAAUAUAUAUAUUUUUUAAUUAUUUUAAUUAUAUUUGACUUUUCUUUCAUAUUUUUUUUUGAUAAAAUAAAAAAUAAGAAAAUAAUUUUUUUAACAUUUUGUUCUUUUUUUAGUAUUUUUUCAGGAACUAAAUAUUGAUUUAUAUUAAAAGUAAUCUUUUAUAUUAAAGUUAUAAUUGGUUCUCGGAAAGUGUUCCAAAAAAAAUGUUAAAUAAUUUUCUCCUAUUUGAUUUUACUAUUAAAAAUAUGAAAAAAAGUCAAAUAUAAUUAAAAUUAGUAAAAAAUUUAUAUAUUUUCAAGUUAUUUAAUUUUUAUAUAAAAGAGUUAAAUAAAUAAAAUGAGUUAAAAUAUGAUAUAAAAUAAUUUAUUGACUUUUCACAUCUAAUUACCUUAUCCUUCAUUUGUAAUACUAAAAGUAUCAAGGAAAUGAAAUAAAGGAAAGCUAAAUGAGAAUUUAAAAUCAUAUAUUUGAUUGAGAGUGAAAACUCAAAUACUUAAUUACAUAUGUUUUUAUUAAUGAAGAAAAAUGAGAAAUAAUAUUUUUUUUUAAAAAGGAUCUAAAUUUUUUUUCCUUCACUUUUUUUGCAUGUCACAAACAUGGUUCUCUUAGUUUCUAAUAUUUCCUAACUCAUCAAAGACUAAAUCCCCAUAGUCAAUGACACAAGUACUGCAAACAUGGCAAUGAGAAUUCCGCUAAUGAGAAGCUAGCACCAAAAGAUUUAGGUCUUCUCUUAUGACCCAUAACCAUGACAUUCAUCUCAAUGAUCAUCUCCAUAAAGACAUAAAUUCCUAGUCACAAUACUAAGAAAUGCCAAAACAGGAACAAAACUUCCUAACAAACUUCAAGCCACCUACCUUUAUAAGGUGGUCCACUGGGUCAAUGCAAAAUAGACCAACUUUUAUUAUAAAGACUCCCAAUCAAUGAUUGCAGGCCGCUAAACCAAAAUAUAAAACAAUGAGAUGUUUUUAGGUUAUUGAGAACAUGAACCAAAACAGAGAAAACCUUUUUGUUUUAGGGAAAAAUAAGACAUUGAAGGGAUAUGUAGUCAUAAAUCUUACAAUUUUGUAUAUUGUAAGAGUUAAAUCUCCACUUUUAUUACACUCGAAAGGGAAUAGAAGCAAGAAAAGACCAAAGCAAUUAAAAUUUCUUACUGCCAAAGCUCAAUACAUCAUUGCUUUCCUCCAUGCUUGUAUAAGAGAACAUAGACCAAGAAAGUGAGAAAAACCUAAGCAUCCAUGGUUUUCCAUAGUUAUCAAGUGGUUCACUAAAUUGAAGUACAUCUUUUUUCAACAUAAUAUUGAAUAUAUUUAAAUAACUAAAUGUAACUUAAAUAGGCAAGAACAAAACUUAAUAUGCAUUAGUACACAAAAUAGUUGUCAAAAGUUUGUGAAAUAAUAUACAUCAGUAUUAUGUUUCAUCUGGUAUUGUUAAAUUAAUUUAUUGUUGGAUGUGCACAUCAUUUGGUAUGAAAGUGCAUGUAUACCAUGUAAUGUAUACAGUUGUUGGCCAUGUGUGUCAAAAAUACACAUGUGUAACUUUUCAUUAGUAAAAACUUUUCUUUUGCUUUAGUAUGUGCAACAAAGUACAAUAACUUAAGCCUAAAUAUUGUAACUUUUCAGCUAAAUAUUCAUCUCCAUUAAAUAAAACUAAUAAUCCAAAAAAAUGCAAUAUUUCAAGUAUGAACAUGUGUAUUUAUAUAUAUUACAUGCUGAAAGUCAUUCAUAUAAUUCACAAAUAUUGAAUUUAAGUACUAAAAUUUUAAUUUAUAAAUACUAAAUGUCAGCUAGUUACGACCAUAAAUUUGAUAAAUAUUAAAAUUUAUCAAAAGUACUAGUCUUUUUGUUUGCAUUAAUAAACCUAUCCGUAGUUGAAGCCGCAUGGGACCAUAAAUUCCUAGUUUAGUCCAAAAUAUUUUAAAAAUAUUAUAUCAAACUAUAUAUUGAAUUGACAGCUUUUGAGUCAUUUUUUUACUGUGAAAACCAUCAUACAUGGGAUUUGGGUAGUUGGGUUAUGCACCUCAUGGUGAGAGGAACGACCCCACUUUGAAAUAAAUAUUUCUAGCUUGUCCUUUCAUUAAUAAGUAUGUAAUUGGUUGACAUCAUAAUCAUGUUAGGAUAAAGUAAAAGGUUGAUGAACAUGGUCAUCUAAGACCUCUACUUGCCAUGCUAUUUUAAUGGGUAUUUUUGGGAUUUCAUUUGUGUUAGCAUAACAAUAGAUUACAUACUGCAAAGCCAAUAUGAUACGGGUGGGACGCCCAUACAUGCAUGCCCAAAAAAAUGAAAGCAGACUAAUGCCAUAACUUAAAUAUUAAUGGAAUAUACUCCACUUGGUCUCUUCCAUAUUAAACAUAUGAACUAAUAAAACACCUCACUAUAGUGCCAAAAACACAUAAAAACAAUUGCAGGGGCAUAAGAAACAUAGAUGACAAGCUAUUUUCUCUGAAGUUACAUCAAUUUCUUACUGAUUUUUCUUUCACUUAAGUUUUAUAAGAUUUCAUACAAUUCUUAUUUAUAAUUUAUAACAGAAAGUUUUAUAAAUAUUCAUGGGGUUCACAAAUAGUCAAUAGCUUAAUAUGAAAUGAAGAUCAAAAGGCCAAAAGUGGUAAGAGUUUAUAGGAUUUUUACAAGUAAUCUUUUUCUUCAGGAUCUUCACUGCUUCUGAUACACUAUCCUGAAAAUUAAAGCAUAAACAGUCAGCAUUAUAAUGUAAUUUUAGCAGUAUCAUCCAACAAAUCAGUUUAUUAACCAUCUACACCAACACACUCAUAAUUCAACAGCCAAAUAAAAUUUGAUUGCUAAUUAUUUGGCCAAGAAUUUCAUCAGAAUGGUUGAAAAGAAAUUAAUUGAAGAUGAGGUUUGAUCUUACAACAGCAUAGGCAAGGUCGAAGAUACAGUACAGUAUUUGACCAUCAACUUUGGAUUAAACUUACUGUACUCAAAAUUUCAAACAAUGAAAACUAUAAGUACAUAUUAUGAAACGUAAGUUCCUAUCACAUCUGCUAAGCCAAGGCACACUGCCUACUGGACUGGUUCGAAGCUAGACCGGUACCAUACCUAAUGAAGACUGUUGAGUUCCACUAAUGAACAUUUUAAGCUGAAGAGAAAAAUCUCUUACUAGAGCAGAUUCUAGAGAAGUUUUCCCAAAAUAACGAAAUUACAAAAUUACAAAAUCACGAAAUCACAAAAUUACAAAAUCACGAAAUCAAGAUAGAGCAGAUUCCAGGAAAACUCAAAUCAAUCGAAGUGGCACAGCAAGCUUCUCACUAUGGUAAUUAUGAGAUCUGCCAAAAUUCAUCACAUUGGCAUAGUUUUUAAUUUCUUCUAUUUUCUUUAUAAUCUCCUCUAACAUUCUAUCUUCAUUAUGCUCAGUUAAGCCAUCAAAUACCUGCCUUGCAGAUUCCAAGCGUCCACAUUUUGCAUACAUAUCAAUCAAACCGCACCUUGCAUACACAUCAAGACGUGGUUCCAUGCGAACAAUCCGUGCAUGCAGAUGUGCACCCCAUUCCAGAUCAUAAAUGUUGGUGCACGCACUAAGAACACUAGCAUAUGUCAUGGAAUUAGGUCUAAAACCUUGUUUCCACAUCUCAAGGAACAUAUUAAGAGUUUCAGCGCCAAACCCAUGUUGCGACAAGAUUGAAAUCAUCGUAUUCCAAGAAACAGUGUCGCGCUCAGGCAUUUUAGCAAACAACUCAAGAGCCUUUUUAACGCUGCCAUAUUUUGAAUAACCAUAAAUCAUACUAUUCCAACAAAACAAACUUGGAUUCGAGGUCCUACAAAACACUUUCUGAGCGAAAUCCAUUGCACCACACUUGAUGUACAUAUCAAGAACUGACGUUUCAACACAAGUGUCUAUUCCAAAAUCAAAUUUCUCUGCAAAACCAUGCAAUUGCAAAGCUAAAAUAGAUUACAUACUGCAAAGCCAAUAUGAUACGGGUGGGACGCCGAAAUCAAGAUCCAUUCAAUUUUAUACCCACUAAUCCAUUCCAAUUUUCUCAUCACAUUUAGACCCAUUCAGAACUUCCACCACUAGAAAUCGAACUGGGGAGAAAAUUACCUUAAGCACGGGGAGGUUGACCAUGUCCUCGCCACUUCUGGCUGAUUUCCAUACCGCCUCUAUCAUCUCCUUCCCAUCAAUAACGUCGAGGAUCAGCCCCAACGAAUAUAACUUGAACAACCACUCCAACGCUGGCUUCAUAACCUUCAUGAAGGCUAAAUCAAGAGCCAGUAGAAGAGGCUGCAAAACAAACCCUCUUCUUGGGGAUUUCAAAUUUCAAACAAUGGGACGUGUUCACCGUAUGGGGCAUUCUGUACCUAUGAUUCUCACAAUUACUUAUUAAAAAUCAUUCUUUUUUUCCUGUUUUUCACUUUUUUUUAAUGACUUGAUCAUGUGUUUGGUUUAGAUUACAAAAUCAAUUAAUCUACAGUUUUUUCUUCUAUGCUAGAAGAUUAAACCUAAGUUUUUCUUCCCUACAACUCAAGAAAACACAAUUCACAAAAACCAUAAUACAAAGAUGUUGAAACAAUUAAUAUAAUGACAUUAAUAAAAGAAAAAAAAAUUAUACAUCUAAGAGAUUUUGGGUAACCUUGGAGUCCACAAAGUAAAGAAUGUCGGUUGUGAACGUGUUGACUAUGGGUGAGAGAAAAGGUUGAAGAAGAUCAUGAUUUUAUGUAUAGGGUUUAUAUUGAUAUUUUUUAGAUUGUGGGUGAAAUAUGGAAACAAUGGGAUUUUUAUAUAUUAUCCAUCAUUAUUACUUCUAAUUGUGGGUGCAAUAUGGAAACAAUUGGAUUUUUAUAUAUUAUCCAUCAUUAUUACUUCUAAAAGUGGGCUCAUUAAGUUAUAAUACUUAAAAAAAAUUAUUUUAUAUGAUGUCACUUCCCAAAAAAUGACACUAUAAAUAUAAAACUAAUAUCAUCUAACUACCUUAAUUGAAGAUUUUUUAUAUGAUGUGUCACCUUUAUUAAUUAUAAACCCUAUGGUGUCAUUAUUUUAAAAGUGACACCAUAAAUAGUGACACCAUAAACUAUUUUUGUAGUAGUGCACCCUCUCAAAUCAAAAUGGAGAGCUUCUCAAGCCCCUUAAGAACAUCAAUUGUGAAAUAAGUCAACUUGGGGAAGAUGCCUAAUGAGAAGGAUAACGAGAAAGAAUCAUCGAUAACACCACCAUUGAUGCUUAGGCUUUCAAAAAUAAAUCAGGUUUAGUGGGGCCCAACAUGCGUGAUUUUUCUUAUUGAUUGAUUGAUUGAUUGUCAUGCUUGAUUGAUUCACUUUGUGAUGUACAAGCGAAUGUUCUGUGUUCGUUCACUAACCUUUGUCUUCCAUGAAGCAGUCAACUCUUCACUUACGUACGUUCCUCGCCUUUCUUGUUCAUUCGAUUAUUUUUAAAUCAAUGUUCUUUGGAUAUCCAUGUUUAAUCAAUAAAUUGUUACAUGUGUUUCAUCUUAUUUUGUAGAGACUCAUUUUUGGGGUUUAAAGGGGUACUACGGUCUUUACCAUACCGUCCCGAUAAGUAACCUGACCAUCGAGUCCAAAUUUGGUUUUUCACAGACCACUUUUUCCAAAUAAGGAGUCACACUUAGGAUUUUCUUUCUUAUUUUGUUUUCCCUUUAAAAAUAAAACAAAAAUAAGUGGCGACUCCAAGUCAUUUUCUAAAAAAAUAAAUCAUUUUCAAAUAAAAAGUGAGUUGCGCUAUCGAGUGGAAGUGCAAGAGUAGAAAUGCGGGGUCCACACCACCACAUGGCAACACAGGAACAAAUUCAUAAACAGCCAUGAACCAACAAUAAGUUAUCAUUUUUUGAAUAGAGAAGAACUACUAAAAUGUGUAGGAAAUGUUUUAAAAAUGAAAAUUCCAUUAACCUUCGUUAAGACUUGCACUCUAUAAUUUUCUUUUUAAAAAGGAAAAAUCCAUGAAUAAAAGUUGUCACAUUAUGAAGAUUUUUUUUUUUUCAUAAUUAAAUAAUUUUUCGGUGAUAAUUUUUGAAAGUGUGCAAAAAGAUACAAAACUUUAAUGUUAAGUUUGGUAUUUGAAAAUUUUGAGAGAAAAUGUUGGGAAAAAAAAUAAAAAGUAAAAUUUGUAGGAAACCAAAGUCUCACUCAAAUGGGCUUGAACUCCAUGGGUGGACAAGACUCUCCCAUACCUCUUCACAAGCAUUUCAAACAAUAGAAAGUGGACUAAUUAAUAAACCCACUAAAGGUGUUUCUCUUUUCCUAUGUGGGACAAGAAAAAAAACCAUUUUUCACAUUUAAACUCUUCCUACAUAUAUCACCCUGGAAGGAUCUAGAUCAAAGGGAUAAGUCUCUAAAGCUUGAUCAAGUUUAUGAUGUUCAAGAAUUGAUGAGCAUGAUAUAUAUCAAUGAUAUUGCAGAAGACAAUAGAGCUUCUGAAAUAUUUCAGGUUCAAUAGUAGGAAAUCUUAUCAGCUGUCACUUACUGUAAUCCUAUGCUCUCGAUAUUCAAUUGUUGAAGAAGAAAGACGCAUCUUGAAAAAAAAAAUUUGCUUUCACACUACUCAAUUACGGGAGAAUGUUCAAUUAUGGAAGAAAAUAAUAUUCACUGGACUUUUUCAACUCACUCAACAUGCAGAGAAAACCAGUUGGGUGACCAAUUAUUCACAUGAUAACUUACAUACAUAGUCUCUCUACGUCUACUUGUUACUCAUCAGCCAAGCUUAUAGUAAUUUAAGCUUGGAUUCAUCUCUCUAUACCACUGAUGCCAACUCUACAUGGACUUCGCCUUCUGGUGAUUUUGCAUUUGGAUUCCGACCCUCUCCAAGUGAAAAGGAUCUAUUCCUUCUUGCUAUCUGGACUGCAAAUGGAAGUUAACCGGUGCCAAGAGGAUCAAAAGUUGAGCUUACCACCAAUGGACACCUUGUUCUCGAUGGAGGCCAAGAGAUAUGGAAGACAAAGACUGGUAAUAUGAGCAGCGAAGCAGUGCAUUGUGCCAUGCUUGGAGAUGGAAAUUGAAUACCAGUAUAUGGAGAGCUUCAACCACCCAACUAAUACCAUAUUGCCAACCCAGGGAUUGGGUGUUGGAACCUACUGUGCAGUUGCUAUUUUUGAGGACCUGAGGUUUGUAAAUGGAACUGGAAGCUGUUGGAGGAAAAGACUACCUCUUUCAAAUGGGAGGUUGGAUCAAAAUGCUGUUGCCAGAAGUGCCCUAAUCAAGAUAUCGAAGUCCAGUGAACUAACUUCAGGCAGAGGCAAGCAAAAUAAAGCAAUUCUAAUCCUCUAUAAGUCCUGCGCCCCUCUGUUCUUCUUCACUUCUGUCGUUGCAAUUCUCUAGUUUUCUACUGCUUGAACCUCAAAAAUCUGCAGCUUUAUCACAGAAUCCUGAGUACAAGCGAUGGUAGAAGCCUUUGGCACUGUCUAUAAAGGGAUAUUACCAUCAGGUUCUGGAAAUUCUGUUGCUGAAAGUUGGAGAAGGUGGUGAGAGAAGGUGAGAAAGAAUUCAAAGCAGAAGUGAAUGUGAUAAGCCAAACUCACCAUAAGAAUCUACGACACUUGCUGGGUUACUGCUGUGAGGGUGAACACUGACUUCUGGUGUAUGAGUUUAUGCACAAUGGCUCUUUAUCAAGCUUCCUGUUUGGAAGUGCCCGAGGACUUGUGUACCUACAUGAAGAAUGCAGUAAACAGAUUAUCCAUUGGGACAUAAAGCCCUCAGAACAUAACUGUUGGAUGAUUCUUUUAUAGCCAAAGUUGCAAACAUGGACUGAGAAAGCAUCUGAUAAGCAACCAGACUUGAACACUCACAGGCAUCAGAGGGACUAUGGGGGUAUAUUCAGACCACUCGGGCAGCCUAUAUCUCUUAUAAUAACACAUUAUGAAGCAUCAGCUCAACGCCAGGGUUCAAUCUGCAAAGCAAGGGAUUCAUCAAUGUUUCCUUCAAACUAAAUAAUGAGGAACAGAAAUGGAUCAUUCUGCAUUUUCAGUUGUGUUUGUUAUAGCAUUUAUACAAGAACUUUUGGGGUUUCUAUGUAUGACUUUAUUCCUAUUUUGUCAGUGAAUAUGGUGAUGGUGUUACAUUAUAAAUCAUAGUGAAACGGUGGAAUUUGAUCAUUUAGCCAACUUCAUCCAAAAUUGUUUCACAUUUGAGGGGAUUAUUAACUUUGCCAUGGGCCAAGCAGCAAUUUCUUAAGAAGCUGGGUAACAAAGAGUACCAUAAUUUGGACAAGUUUCAAUGGAAACUCCCCUGUUUUUGUGCAUGACAUCUUCAGCUUCAGCUUUUCCUUUGCUUUUGACUAGCCUGAAACUGAUCCAAAUCUCUUCAAUCGAUUAAAUGUAUAAAUGAAUCCUAUUCAUUGUUUGAAGUAACAACCAAAUUCUGGAAGACUGGGAAAGUCUGACACUGGAGAGAAAACACAAUGACAAGACCAUAAAUUCUGGAAGAGGGCAUUGCUUUCUAACCAUUACCAUAACUUUAGAGCUCAACCCGGAUGAGUAAAUUAUAUUUCAGAAUGUUCAGAAGAUAAUUCUAAAGAGAUGUACCUUCUACUCAGUUUCUUGUUCUUCUUGAACAGAGCAAUGAACAUCAAUAGUUCAGCACCCAGGAAUCUCCCCUUCCUCCAAUUCCUUCACUGGAAAAACUCUACAAAAAUCAGAACAAUCUAUCCUCUUCCUUGGAGGAAAAGUCACCUUCCCAAUCAAGAAAAUCAUCUGGAUUAAUUUGAGCAAUAUAUCAGAGUAUAGAUCAAGAAAGCCUUGCUCAAAAUCAAAAUACAUCAAGAGCUGCUAUUUUCUUCUAUUUCCUCUUCCCUGAAUAGAAUACCUUUGGACUUAGGCGAUCAAUGGUAACAGUCUAACACACUCCUUAAGCUCUGAUUGAGGCUGACGGGGAUUGGUAUCUUUAAUGACUUUGAAAUCAUAGCUCUGUGAAGGGAGACAAACAUGAGUCACAGAUCAUCUUUCAAUUUCUAAGGCUUGAUUUUCCAUUUGUAGUAGAAAGAUUUUCUUAUUACAAUGCCACAAAAUUGGUUGAUCUAAUUAAAACAAAAAUGAGGCUCUUGACAGAAAAUGAUUAGGAAGGCAUGCAUGUAACAAUUACAAAUGAUAUAUGAUAUAAGAUUUUCACGGAUUAAACAAAAAUACAUGGAAAAAUAGAAGCAGGAGGAUAAGGUCACAGACAGGACAAUAUUAAAAGAAACUACUAUUUUUCUGACCUGAAAAUUGAGGCAUUCAGAACAGUAUACAUUUGUAAGUAGUCCAUGGAAACCAAGGAACAUAUGCAGAUGUUGUAUUCUAUUGCAUAAGGCAGACACUCAAUACUCAGUAGCAUAACCAAGGCCAGAAAGCCAUAUAACCCUUUUUGUUUUUGCUUUUUUUACCUAUUCUCAUCUUUCAUGACCAGAAGUGCCAACAAUGUUAUAACCUCACCAAAUAAGUAAGGAACCAGCCCAUUCAGCAGGUUGAGGAGCCAGCUUGCCCUCAAUCUUCUUUGAGUCACCAAACAGGUGGACAUUAUUGCCUCCAACAGGGGGCUUGGAAAUAUUAGAGCUGGCAGCAGGGGUGGCUGUAAAACUCUGUGUUCCAAAACCCCAAGUUUCAGGGCCAGAAGUUGCUUCUGUGGCUGGUUUGUUGUGAUGGCCAUUUCUGGUCCUAACAGACUUGCUAUUGUUGUCUGGGCACCUUAGAGAAAGAUUGCCAUGGAUUAGAGCCUAGGCCAGGGGGGUUGUUAACCUUGCCAUGGGCGAAGCAGCAAUUUCUUAAGAAGCUGGGUGACAAAGAGUACCAUAAUUUGGACUAGUUUCAAUAGAAAUUCCUCUGUUCAUGAUAUCUUCAGCUUCAGCUUUUCUUUUUGCUUUUGACAUGGCUGAAACUGAUCCUGGACUCAAAAAUCACAGACACAAAUAAAUAUUUAACAGAAAAGGAUCGAAAUCUCUUCAAUUGAUUAAUGUAUAAAUGAAUUAAUAAAAUUUUUUUAGAGAUAAUUGAAGGGAGAUGAACCUUAUGCCUCUGAGUUUCUUAUUCAUAAUAAACAGAGUAAUGAGCAUCAAUUGUUCAGCACCCAGGAAUCUCCCUUCCUCCACAGCAAACACACCCCACACCCUCCCAAAAUCUGAACAAUCUAUCCUUUCUUCAGAUUCCACUUCCUUGGAAAAGUCAAAACAAGAAGAAGACAUCAUCAAAAUUGAGACAGAAAUAAGUGCAUCAACUAUCUCAAAAAGAGAUUUACGCCUACUGCUCACCUUCUGAAGAGGUCCACUUGGUUAGCACACACAAAAGAAAAUCUUUUUUUUUUUUAAAUUACUCACUAAUAAAGCAGCUAACUAGAAUUCGUCCUUGAGUUUGCUCUCUGCCCAGUAUAUAAGAAACAAACAGAGAAUAUAAAAAUAAAAUAAAAAAAUCCAAGUUUUUAAUUUUUUUUCUUAAUUUUUCGAUAGUUAUAAAUGGCUCAUUUGGUAAACAGAGCAUGAAAAUGUGAGUACCAUUAGAAUAAGACCAUCCUUCUCUCCUUCUCUUCAAUAUUUGUUUUAGGCUCGAAGCUUCAAGAAAAAGAAAAUCUUAAAUCAAAUAAACAGGACUAGUAAUUGGAACAUAAAUAUUUUUCUGAAGAAAAGAAGUUCAUGCACAAAAGAAUUACCUGACUACCUGACUGUAUAUUGGUUUAGUGCCACUUUGAUUAAAAUAGCACACCAUUGAUCACUAUUUUUGGAACGUGAGCUAUAUAACGCCAUUCUUUCCCUUUCUCAAAUUGACAUCGUGUUUCCAGUAAAGGACACCCGCUGAGACGCAGAAAAGAGAGGGAGUCUGGAAGUCUCUCUUUUGUCAAGUAUUUGAGCUUACGGCAGUCUCUGAUCACCAAUGUUUUAAGAGAGAUGAGGUGUUGAAGACCCUCUUUUGUCAAUGAUUGGAGCAUUGGGCAGUCCCUGAUUAGGAAUUUUUUGAGAGAGAUGAGGUGUUGAAGACCCGAGGAGUCUUGCAGUCUCUGUUUUGUCAAGUAUUGGAGCUUAGGGCAAUUGUAGAUAUGCAAUGUUUCAAGAGAGGUGAGAUGUUGAAAACCCACUUCUGUCAAGUAUUGGAGCUCAUGACACCUAUUGAUAUGCAAUACUUCAAGAAAGGUGAGGUGUUGAAGACCCACUUCUGUCAGGGAUUGGAGCCUUGGACAUUCAUCAAUUCGUAAUUCUUUGAGAGCGAUAAGGUGUCGAAGAACCGAUCCUGUCAAGAACUGGAGCUCUGGGCAGUUUGUGAUCUUUAAAUUUAGAAGAGAGGUGAGUUGUUGAAGUCCCCCGCUGUCAAGAGACUUGAGAUUGGGAAGCUCUUCAAUUUCAAGAGAAGUUAGAGAAGAGGGCAGCAGACACUCCUUGGGAAAUAAUUCAACGCCUUCACAUCCACCUUCCAUUCUUAAAUGUGUAAGAGAGGUCAACCUUUGCAAACCCCAAUCCACCUGAGGCGUGACUUUGUUACACCUUUGAAAUUGAAGUUCACACAGGUUGGAAGGCAAACCCUCUCUCUGAAACAACAAUUCUGGACAAUCCCAUAAAUCCAGCUCCUGUAUAGAUGAGUGCGUGUGUGCCAACGACCUGAGCUUGGAGCAACUAGAGAUCCGACAAGACUUCAAGUUGAGACCGGGCAAUUUGAUAGAUUCAAGAUCAGGGCACUUUGCUAGAUACAAGGAACGUAAAGAUGUGGGUUCACCCUCUGAAAUCAAAAUGGAGAGCUUCUCAAGCCCCUUAAGACCAUGGAUUGUGAAAUCAGUCAACUUGGGGAAGAUGCCUAAUGAGAGGGAUAACGAGAGAGAAUCACCGAUAACACCCCUACGGAUGCGUAGGCUUUCAAGGACUGGGAGAUGGCAUCUGAACAGCUCAAGUAGGAGAAACUCUAGUUUGGAACACCGAGAGAUUGAUAGCGAUUUCAAAGUAGUAGGUAAACCAACUUUGUAUAGGGAUCUAGAAAAACAACAAUCACGAAUAUUCAGAUCAUGUAUGUUGGUUUGCGAGAUUUCCUCCUCUAAUAGAGACUCCACAGAAUCACAUUUUCUGAUUGAGAGCUUGUGUGGUGCCAUUGGAAGUUGCUUCCACCGAGACACGCCUGAAAUUUCAAUUUCAAAAGGUUGAAGAGUUGUGAAGUCACAAGCUGGCAUUUGCAACUGCAAUUUGCCAAAAUCCACCAUCUUUAAUUCACGGACGGCAGGAACCGUAAUUGAAGCCAUAAGCAACUGUGGACAAUUAACAAUUACAAGUCCCUCCAAAGAAAGAAGUUGUUCUGGUAAUUUCCCAGUGAGUUUGGGACACCACCGUAUAGAAAGCUUUCGGAGACGAGGGAAUUCUCCACACCAUAACCAUUUCUCCCAGUUCAGCAUACCCUCAAAUGAUAGUGUCUCUAGGGAUCGGAAGGAAGUAUUCCCAUGAAACUCACCAUCCACACACUUUACUCCACUCAUUCCUGAGAUCUGUAGAUAUUUAAGAUGGGUUAGCUGCCCAAGUGGUGGCAAUGUUGAGCAAUUGCCACAACCCCGAAGCUCAAGGGACACGAGUUUCAAGACUGAAGGAUCUCCAAGCCAAUUUGGAAAUCUUACACCAGGAUAGUUUUUGAUGGAGAGUUGUUUUAAAUUUGGAUGAGGUUGUAACUGGUUGAGUAUGUCAUCAGUUGUAGCAUCAUAUUGUGUAAUACCACCAUCUAUAACCAAUUCCGAUUCCGAUUCCGAUUCUGAUUCCAAUUCCAAUUCCGAUUCCCAUUCCCAUUCCAAUUCCCAAUCCAAUAUUAACUCAUCAAGAUAACUCUUAUCCUUCAUAUUAGCUUGUAAUGCAUCGUUAACACUCACCACAUUAUUCACGUUUGAAAUAUAAAGUGUUUCUCGAAUCUCUAAAAGCUCCCUCAAUUCUCCAAUUCUUAAUCCACUCUUUUGGCCCACAAUAAAACAAGACAAUUUCUGUAAACAUUUUAAUUGACUAAUGCCAUGACUUGACCUUUCUUUCAAUGAAUAACAUUUAGAAAUAUCAAGAUAACGCAAAUUAAUCAAUUUCCCCAUCUUUGAAGGCAAUUCAAUAAGAUCUGAACAUCCUCUAAAGAUCAAUGUUUGUAAAUUGUACAAACAACAUAUUGAUUCAGGUAAUUUUUUAAUCAACGUGUAAGAUAGAUCUAAAUAGCGCAAAUGUUUCAAAUUACCUAUCCAAUCAGGCAAAUUAGUUAUCUCGUAUUCUUGUAAUGACAACACACGUAAAUACCUCAUUUUUGAUAUAUCUUCGAAAACUCUUUUACUCAAUGUAUAAAAUGGGUGGCAUAAUGAUUCUUUCACAUCUAAUAAUGUCCGAAGAGAUUUAGCAUUAGUAAAAGCCUCAAGCUUGUUAAAUGUAACAAACUCUUCAAAAUCACCGUGAAUGUAUGAAAAGUGGCGAGUCUUCUCGGAUACUUUUAGUACCUUAUUGUCUUCCGCUCGGACACAAAAAUCUACUCCAGACACAUGUUGAGCCAAUUCAUGGACUAGAUCAUGCAUUACGAAGCAAAAUGAUUUUUCUCCUCUAAUAGAUUUUUGAAAAAAUGAUUUCGCCAAAAGCUCAUUAAAAUAGGACUCACCUAUCUCUUCCAUUCUUCUUCCGUCGUCUUGUUGUGGAUGUAAAAGACCUUCUGCCAUCCAUAAUAAAACCAGCUCCUCUCUGUUGAAUUCGUGGUCUUGGGGAAAAAUUGAACAAUAUGCAAAACAAUGUUUCACAGGUAAAGAAAGAUGAUGGUAGCUCAAUCUCAAAGAAGGAAGAAUUCCAUAACGACUAUGAAGAUGCCAUAUUUCACUAUUCAAAACGUCCUCCCAUUCCCUUUUUUCGACCUUAGAGUGCAGCAGAUGCCCGAGUGAUUUAACAGCCAAGGGCAAUCCUUGGCACUUAUCCACAAUCUGUCUACCUAUGGGUUCAAGCUCAAGGCAUGCGUUAGAGUCUCUAUCUUGAAAUGCAAUCUUUACAAAUAGGCUCCAACAAUGUUGAGGGCUUAAUUCUCCCAAACGAUGAGUGCGGACUGCACGCAUAGUUUUUGCAACAGAUUCAUCACGACUGGUCACAACAAUCUUGCUUCCCUCUGCUGCACCCAGGAGCGGAGUUCGUAGGCUAUCCCAACUUUCCCAAUCAAAGGACUCCACAUCCCAGACGUCAUCGAGAACAAGCAGAAAUUUCUUGUUAACAAGGCUCUGUUUGAGUUGACGCUGAAGCAAAUCCAGGUUGUCAUCGGAAGUAGGUCUAUCGCCGAUUUCCUCAAGAAUUGAUUUGGUGACCUUGAUAAGAAGAAACUCAGUGGAAACACAGACCCAUGCUUUCAAGUGGAAGUGUUCCUUCACUUUGUCAUUGUUGUAGAGAAGCUGAACGAGUGUGGUCUUGCCGGUGCCGCCCAUGCCAACUAUGCAGAUCACAUCUAUGUCUUCCUUGCCUCUUGCGUUAUCAGAAAGCAAGCAGUUCACCAUGUCCUCCUUAAUUUCAUCCCUGCCGUACACAAAGGACUCAUCCACCAAAGAAGUGGAUGGUAAUCUUGGUGGCAGUUUCUCGCCCCCACCUUCUUUCAGGCCAAGCCCAACUUUUUCUUGAGCAAUAGCCUCAAGUUUAGCGAUCAUCUCCUUCACUCUGGACUCCAUGCUUUGAGUAGCAAAUGGCGCCUUAACACAAUCAGAGAACUUGUUCCACACCUGAUGAAUUCCACCGGUUUGGGAGUCCGUAGCUUCGAUCUUGCAGCGCAAAGCAUCGGUAGCGAUCCCGUCCAACAGGUCCUCCGCACCAUACACAAUAUCCUUAGCCUGUACCAGCCACUCUUUGACUGGGUCGUUUGAAAAUUGCUUCACCUCUGCAUCAUUGAGCACAUUGAGAACAACCAAGAAUUUCCUCCUCAAGUCGUUAAGGAGUUCUUUGCUGAGAUUCCGUCGCCGAAUGAAGUUUAUGAGCUCUGGAGAAGCCAACCUCUCGAAUAGGACUUGAAGCGAAGCCGAGAGCAGUGCGUCCGCCAUAUCUGUCGACUGUUGCUUUGCAAUUGGAAUUCAGAUGAUUGGUUUGUAUUAGCGCGAUACCACCAAACUUCACGAGACUGGUUUUGGAUUACCAAAUGCAGAAGGCUUGAAGGAAUGCUUGAGUGGUGAGAAAAAGAAAGAAAACAAAAAAAAGUUGAUGCCAAACUUCGUUGUGUAGGAACAAAGCAGAUUCGUUACGCAGGCUUCAAUUUUUCUCUUCUUUCCUCUUUUUAUUAUUAUUAUUUUUAAUUAUUUUCUUUUUCUUCUCCUUCUAUUAUUAUUAGUGCGUAUAUAUACCCAAAUAAUUGUUUUAACAUUAUCAUUCCUAAUAUUAUGAAUAUUAAUAUCCAUAUUAUUAUUUUAAUAAUUAUAGUAGUAUUAUAAUUUUAUAAUUAUAAUGGUUAGUUUUUUUCUCAUAAUUAUUAUUAUUAGAAUAUAUUACUAUUACUAAAUUUUUUAAUAUUAUGGUUAUUAUUAUUAAAUAAUGAUAUUAUUAUUUGAUUCAUUAAUUUAUUGCACAUAAUUAUAUAUAUAUAAUUAACUAAUAUUAUGAUUUAUCAUUUAAUAAUUGUAUAGGUUAAUUAUGAUUUUUUUUUCUUUUUAAUUCUGAGGCUUGAAGGAAUCAUUGGUUGUGAUGUACCCCAUAAGGAAAGAAAAAGCAAAAGCAAAAGCCAAAAAGCAUAUAUAUCCUUUUUUUUUUCUUUUUAAUUUUAUUUAUUAAAAUUUUAUUCCUUAGAAUCAAAUGUAAAAUAAUUAAUUUUAUGUUCAAUAAUCAUGAAUAAAAAGCAUCAAAUUAUGAAAAUUAUUGUUUUCUAUAUUUUUAUAGUGAAGUUAUGUUUUACAUAUACAAAUUUUUAUGGAUACAUGAUUUCCUUAAUUGGAAUGCGAAAGAAAAUCUCGUUGAUAAUUGUUUUUCAUCUUAGAAAAAAUACACCCUUAUUUCGGUGAAAUGAUUAAAAAAAUGAUUUAAAGCACAAGAAUAAUUAAUAGAUUUAAAAUUUGAAAAUCAAUAAUAGAAAAACGGUGAAUGAUUCAAAUGAGCAUUUACUUUUCUUGGUAAUAUGAAGUGUUGAACUUUGGAUUUGUUAGCAUGUAUGGAUAUUUAAUAAAUUAGAAAAAGAAAAAAAAUCUUAGGGGAAAGACACAAUAACUAAUUAUAGAAUUUUUUUUUUACAAAAUAUAAUAACUUGUAUAUUAUUUAAUAUUUAACUAAAAAUUUAAAUUUAGUAAAAUCUACUUUUAAGAUUAGGAAAAAUCAUUACUUUAGUGAGAUUAUUGAUUCAUCUAUAAAUGAAUAAUUUAUUAAUUAAAUAAUAAAUUUAUUAUAUUUUUAUUGUGAUACUUGUACAUAAAAAUAAAAUAAAAAAUAAAAAGAAAGAAUAUAUCAUAGGUAGUGUAUACAUUACAAACAAAUUAAAGACGAGGUUAAAUAUUAAAAACAGAGUAAAUGACAAAACCACCUGUAGACCCCAUUUUGGGGCUCAUUUUUCUUGCAUUUUGUGCAACACAUUCUUACAAAGUGGAGGGCCCUCAAGAAUGUUCGUGGUUUGAAGAGGCAAUGGAAGGUUGACAUGUAUCAUAGAAUAUUCUGAGGAAAAGCUAUAGACUGAUAGAGGGGGGUUGGAGAGCAUUUUUUUUGGGGGACGUGUUAUGUAUUAGCUGGUGAGAGGAUGGCUUGAGGAGCAAGCUUGCUGGGGAGGUUACAGAGAGAAGAGGCAACCAGAGAAAGAAGGUAGCUGAGAGCGUAAGAAGAUAUGGUGGGUUGGAGAGCAUUUUUUUUAGGAGAGAUAGCUUAAGGAGGAAGGACUGAGGGGAAUUCUUGUGGCUGGUUGCUUGAGAGGAAAGGUAACUGAGAGAAAACAGAGGAGGAAGGGAAGUGGGAGACCAUGGUGAGCAGAGUUUGAAAACCAUGGGAAAGCAGCUUGAAGAGGACUGGCUCGAGAGAAGAGGGAGGGUAUUUUCUGGAGCAGAAAGAAUGAAGUAGAGUAACUUGAUACCCAACUAGCCUCGCAGGAAGAGAGCAUUUUCAGGUACUUUUGCUAGACCACGUAGUGAUUGCUAUUGAUUUUCUUUGGGUUGCUGUGAUUAUGUCUAAUAAAUCUGUUCCUGGUUUUUUAUGUGAAAUUUGUUUAAGAAUGAUACAGUUCCUUUUUAGCUUUCCUUUGGGUGUCUGAGUCAUAUCUUUGGAUCUUAUUUCCACCUGGUUUUUCCCACCCAUACACAAGCCCAUUGACUUCAAUAUGAGAUGGGGCUCGGGUAAGUGUUUUCUUGAGUUCAUUUGAUGCUCUGUUUUCCUGCUUGCCCCCUUGUUGUUUACUCUCUACUCUCUGUGGCCAUUUGUACUCCCAAGGAAAAGAUUUUUUCUAGCAUUGCCAUUGGUUUUCCUAUGGGCAUAGUUUCUGAGCUUGGGUAGCCGUUGUUUCAUUUGUUCAUAAGGUUGCUGGGUUAUUUUGCUAAAAAAUUUGAGACGGCCAUAUUAGGGUAUUAGUUUUAUCUCUUGACUGUAGGUGGUUCUGGAUACUUAAUUGGGUCUUACAAGGGGCAAGGUUGUCAGCCAAUCAUCAGAUAUGAGACGCUAGCACUUUGAGAGCAUGGGAUGGAUGUUCAGCUAAGAUUGUUAGCAGAAAAGAAGGGUGUUGUAGAAAAAUUGAAUUCACUUGAGGAGAAAGGGAAAUAUUCAAAAGCAGAAUCAAUUUAUGUACAGGUGCUUAUGAGGAUGGGCAACGUGUCAGCAUCGAUGUUAUGUCAUCCAUUUUCGAGGAGCAGUCUGCUGUCGAUAAGCAAAUGAGUGUCUAGACAAAAUACCAACAGGGUUUGAUUCAGUGGUUUGAACUGCCUCGCUGGGAGGUUGUGAGAACAUGAUGAAAACCCAGAUUCUCUUGCUUACUUCUAGGGAGCUACUCCACAAGUUCCUCUCCUAUGCCUGCAGACAUGCAACUUUGGCCACUCAUGGCCACAUUUUCUCUCUGUAUUGAACAUACGACUCUCUUCAUAGUUCAUGUUUUGUGCUCAACCCAGGACCAUUCUCCAAACACUACAUUUUGAUCGAUUUCUGGGUUUAAGGGUUGAUUGCAUGUCUCAAUGAUGAAAGAUGAUCCUCUUGACAAAUCAUGGUUUUGGCUUAAAUUUUCUCCAGAGAAUUUUCUCAUUUUCCAUUAAGAAAAUUAGAACAGAAUGAUCUGGACCGCUUGUGGUUCAGCUAUGGACUCGACUCAUGCGUCUCAUUCGUUUGAUGUGACGAUCAUUGGAGCCGGAAUAAUUGGGUUGAGCACUGCCCAGCAGUUCCUACUGCACUUUAACCUCUCUGUCAUCGUGGUUGAUAAGGAUGUCCCCUGCUCCGACUCUACCGGUGCCAUGGAUCAUAAUCGCGGUAUCAGUCACUGACUCGGAUGGUCCCGAGACGUAUCGGUCUGGUAUCGGGCGAUACGUAAAAUAAGCUAAUUAGAAAAUUCAAAAAAAAUAUAAAAAUAUUAUGUAAAUCAUCAUAAAAAUAUAUACAAUUAAAUAAGCUCAAAAAAUUAAUAAAAUAAAAUAGUCUCACAUUUAACAUUAUUUAAAUAGUUAUAAAAGUAUCUGCUCAAAGUUAUUUAUGAUAAUGCUAAUAAAAGAAAAUUAUUUUAUUUCAAAUAUAAUAACAUUUUUACUAACAAACAUACAAUACAAUAAUCAAUUCCAUGUUGAAUGACGAGGGGGUUCAAAAUCAUCAUCAUCAGUCCUAUGACGAGCAUACAAAUUGGGGUGGCAAUUCCUGUAGUGAGGAUAUGGUUGAAAGAGUUGUUCAUAACUUGAAUAUGUUGGGUGAGAUGAUUGGCUUGAUGAUCCAUAAUUAGGAAAAUAUGGUUUCGAAGGCUGUUCGGGAUCAACACCAGAUUGAUAGUAUCCAAAACCUCGAUAAGAAAUGCUACUACUACUAGAAGAUUGAUCAUAUCCAUAUGAGUCACUAGCUCGUGUUUCAGUAUUUGAAUAUCCCUCUGGAUGCAUAAUUGGAAAUCGAUUAAAAUCAUUUCUACUAAAAGCACUGGAAGAGCUAUCACGGUCUCUAAAGUUGUUAUAUGAUCUAUCAUCUACCCCUCUGAAAUACGACCUUAAUCCUAUACCCAAAUUUUGUAAGUGCUCGUCAAUAUGGUGAUAAUUUGAUCUAUGAUAAUCAUGCCCACUAGAAUAAUCAUCAUUGUUGGGAAAUGUAGUUAGUUUUUCCAAAUGCUUUCGUUGUUCCCAUAUCCCUAGUCGAUAUCCAUGAUCUGUAUCUUGUGUGGCAUAGUAAUUUUCACCUCCUUAUGCCCAUGACAUGUCGGGAUCUACUCGACUAAAAUAACCGCCCCCAGUGCUACCAUCUCCUCCAGUACUCUCACUAGUGCCACCACCCCGCCUACUGCCCCUAUUGUCACCAUCAUUACUACUAGAUUUUGAAGAAAUUGUUCUAGAAGCCUUACCUUUACAACGGGAAUCAACAUCUCUUUCUCUACCUUUUUCAUUAGUGAAAAGACCUUUAUCCAACCAAUCCAAAUUAUCAGAUGAUAAAAUAGGCUCCUCUCCUUCUCAUAUCCACUCAUUUAAUAUAUCAUCAUCAUUAAAGAUAUGAUUCAGAUCAAUUGGAUUGUAUAAAUCUUCAUUGCUUCGCUCUUGCAUCAAAUUCUUAACUCAAAGUCGCAUAUUGUAGUGCACAUAAACUAACUUAUGCAACUUUUUCAUUGCCAAACGGUUGCAUAACUUUGUGUGAAUCAAUGACCAUGUGCUCCAAUUUCUUUCACAACCUGAUGAAGAACAAGUUUGGCUUAAAAUUUUAACAGCAAUCUUUUGUAGAUGUGGACCUUCGUCGCCAUAGUUGUUCCACCAUUCAGCUAUAAUAAAGAAAAUGCAUACUUAUUAAUCACUAUGAUAUAUUUAACAAAAAAUGAUGAUAAUUUCUUAUUUGUAAUAGACGUAAAUGUAUUGAGUACCUAGAAGAGAUUGAUUUAUUGCUUUCUUUGUAAGUGCACUUCCAAAUUCUCCUUGGCCAUCAACAAAUAAUUUCACCUACAUCAUUAACAUUUUUUUUUUAUUAAUGCACAUUACAUAUACAAAAUGCAUUAUAUAAAGGUCACAAACUAUUAUUAUACCUUGUUAAUAACUUUUGCUUGUCUAUCCAAAUCUGGCUCUAAUCUCUUGAUAACCUCCUUGAAUCCAACUUUAAUUUUUGGAUGGUUGGAAAAAUGCUUUGAAUAAUGGAACAUUGGAUUUAAAAAAUAUGCUAUCGUAAGUUAAAUAAUGAUCAGUUUAUAAUAAUUUAUACUUGAAAAAAAAAAAAUAUGUAAGGAAUUUUUUUAUUACCUGUAGCAUGCAAAUGUCUAUGCAAUUGACCGUCCCACCUUCUAUCAAUGACUUCCCAAUACUUUUCCCAUUGCUUGACCGAUGCCUUGAUAGCCAAUUUAGCUCUAUCCAUUGCUUCAUAAAUGAUUGAUAGUAUGGGCUUUUUAUCUUGAUCAACCAAUUUCAAUACUUUGAAGAAAGGUUCCAUGAUGGUUUAAACUCCCCCUGCCUUCUUCCAAAAUCGAUCAGUUAAGAUAAGGUUGGAUACCUUAUUUCUUAGACUUUUUUUGCUCCUAUCUUUAUUGAAUUCACACCACUCAUUUGUUGUACACAUUCUCUUCAAAUCAGCCUCAUAACGUAUAAGACUCUCAAGAGAAAUGAGUUCGAUGGCAAAACGGGUUAUUCCUGGCCUUAACUGAUCUCUAUUCUUGGUGAACACUUUCAUCAAAUUCACUACUUUCAAGCUAUUAUAAAUAAAUCCUGUGAUCAUCUUAGCUUGAUUUAAUGUCUCAUUAAUCUGCUUCAUGCUUCCAAUAUCUUCAAGCAUUAAAUCAAUAUAGUGGGUUGCACAAGGAGACCAAAACAAAUGUUUCCGCUUCUCCAUCAACAACAUACUGGCUGCUUUAAAACUUGCCUCAUUAUCAGUGACUACUUGAACAACAUUUUUCUCCCCAACCUCCUCUACAACUUUAUCCAUAAGGGAAAAGAUGUAGUCUGCUGUCUUAAGUAUGUUGGUAGUGUCAACUGAAGAAUGAUAUAUCAUACUUCUAUCACAAUAAAUCAUGAAAUUGAUGAUAGGCUUUCUAGUCCUAGAACUCCAACCAUCACACAUGAUUGUGCACCCAUAUAUAGGCCAUUUAGCCUUCAAUGUUGUUAUGUAUACCUCAAGCUCUUGCACCUCCUCUUCCAAAUCUGUAUUUCCAAUUUGGUAUCCCGUGGGACCCUUGAUGUCUGAACCUACUUCUGCUAUGGUAUCAAUAAUUGAUUGAUAGUAAGGCCCACUGUCAGCUGCAUUAAAAGGUAUUGCAUUAAAGAGAAAGAAUUUAGAAAUAGCUUUACCCACUUUCUUCACGCCUUCAGUAGAAAACAAGCUUUUUAUUGAUUUAUGCUUUGAUGGGAACAUGUAGGGAUCAAUUCCUUUUAGAGGUAUGCUAGCUCCUUCUCUUACACUGAAGCUACGUGUCAGUCCGCGCUUAAUCCUAGCAUUAGAAGGUUGUGAGGAACUACCACCCUUUUGAUGCUCUUGUCCACCUUCUUCAAAAAUUCCACGACUUUCUUUCAUUGCUUGCUUCAUUUGUCUUCUUUCAAAAUCAGCCAUAGCAACUUCCUCAAUUUCAUCAUCAAAAUCACCUUCAUCAAUUUCAUAGAAAUUUUUUCUAUUUAAGGAAUUCAAAAGUUGUUUUUUUUUUCUUAACUGUGUUUUUUCUUUUGAAGUGUUAGACAUAUGUUGUCUAACACUAUGUGACACUUCUAUCGGUACACGUGGACAUCCUUCCACUUGUCCAGAUAUAUGUACGAUGUGUUGCUUUAAUCUUGUUAUACUGCCAUGUAUAACUUUCCCACAAUAUUUACACUUUGUGAUUCUUCUACUACCACCAACAGGUUCUGCAUGCUCCCAACCAAUAUCAUGUUUUGAAGCCAUUUUGAAAUUUUAACCUAAUCAUGUAUAAAAGGAAAACAAUUUACUUUUGAAAUUAAAUAUAUAUAAACACAUUUAUAUAAGAAUUAUAAUAUUCAAUUUUCCACUCACUUAUAUGUUUCAUAUUAUUACCAUAUAAAAAUAAAUUGUACUAAAAAAGCAAUAAACACGAUCUCACCUAAGUUCAUCAUCUUUUGUUUUCUACUUAUUUAUAUGUUUUUUUUAUUAAAAUAAAUAAUAGUUAAAUAAAUGAAUAUUUUUAUAAAAAAAAUUCUUUUAAAAAAGUUUGUUUUGAUAAUUAUUGAUUUCCUAUUGUAAUUUAAUUGUAGAAUAUUAUAAAAAAAAAUCUACAUGAUAUAAUGAAGUAAGAUUGAUUCAAAUAUAAAUGUAAUUGACCAUGUAAAUGCAUAUCCUUCAUUUUGUAUUAUUAAAUCAUUUAUGAUUAUUUGAAAAAAAAAUUCAAUAAUUAUUAAUUUUCUAUAGUAAUUCAAUUUUGCAAUAUAGUAUUAAUGUAAUUGAGUAAUAGAGAAAUUUUUUGUCACUAAUAUAAUGUAAAUUUAUUUAUACUAAUAGAAAAUUGAGUGAUAAUUUUAAAGUAUUCAAUACAAUUUCUUGUGCAUUAUAUUUUGUACCAUUAUACAAAAUUUUAUAUAAUCCUUAUACUUGAAGAGUAACUCAAUUUAUUAAAACCUAAUUAGUUAAAAAUGAUGAAAAUAAUCCUUAUAUUUGAAGAGUAAUUCAUUUUUAUAUAUAUAAAUACCCUUGAUUAUUUUAAGUAUUUACAUGAAUGCUUUAAAAGAAAUAAUUAUUUUUAUAAGGAAAAAAUGAGAGUGUUUUUUUAAAAUGAUGCCAAAAAAAUAAUGAAGGGUUAGAUUUACAAAAUUGGGUUUUCAAUAACCUUUUUAAUUAAAUAAGUCAUUUACUAAUGCUAUAUUUGGUUUAUGAAUAUUAGAGGAAAAAAAAAGAAAACUAAACAAAUUUAAGGUUAAUAAAUUAUUUUUUUAUGGCUCUUUUAAUUCAUUUUAUUUAUUUAUUUUUCUAUAUAAAUAUUAUAUAAUUUAAAUAUAUAUAAAUGUUUAGCUAAUUUUUAAUUGUAGUUGAUUUUCUUUUAUAUUUUUUAUGAUAAAAAUAGUGAAAAAAAAUAAAUUAAUUUUCUUAAUAAUUUUUUGGGAAUCAAAUAUAACCUAAACGAAGGUUUAUUAUCUAUUACAAAAGAGUACUUAUAAUUUUUUACUUAUAUAUGAUAUUAUAAUAAAAUCAUAGGUUUAUUUUAUUUUAUUUUUAUAAAAAAAAAAAUACUAUUUUAGUAUAUGUUAGAAACAUAAAAAUAUUAACAUCUUCAUCAUUUUUUGGGUUAAAAAUUAAUAAUAAAUAUUUAAAGUAAUAAUUUUUCAUAAUAUUUUAUUUAAAUUGAAUAAUUAAUAAAGUUUAACUUUUUAAAAAUGAGUCAAAAUUUUCAUUCCAUGUACUCAUUUAGAAUUGAAUUAUGAACAUAAUAUUAUAAAAUGUUUUGAUUUUAUAUGUAAUUAAUUAGAUUGGUUUUUUGAAUUCAAAUUAUUUUUAAAAAUAAAAAAAUUCAUGAAAUAAUUUAAAAUUAUUAAUUAUGUCUUAUUUAGUUUAUAAGACAUAUAGCAACAAUAUUUGAAAAGGAAUAACAGAUUAUAUAUAACAACAAUAUAUAUUAAACCAUAUACAGAGAGUAUAUAUAUUAAUUUGAAAAGGAAUAACAGAUUAUAUAUAGCAACAAUAUUAAACAAUAUUUGAAAAUGAAUUCCUUCAUUAAUUUAUUACCCGCCAGUUUGAAAGUUGAAACCCUUACCUUUUCUGACUCUGUCUUCUUCUUCUUCCCCAGCACAGCAACACCACAAAGAUGCAACCCUCUGUCUUCUUCCCCAACACCACGAAGACGCAGCCUUGCUAUCUUCUUCCCCAACACACCACGAAGACCACGAUUUGCAAUCUCUCAGACUAUCGGACCACGACCUGCUACCUUCCCACCAUGCACCGCACCAAAGACGAAGAUUCUACACUUCGACAAUGGUGAAUUUAGGGUUAGGUAAGUUAUUCUUCAACUGAGGCUCUUUUUAAAGGCUUUUGAAAGGGUCAUGGGUUUGUUUCAAAUUUUCACGGGUUUGUUUAAAAUUUUCAUAGGUUUUCUUUUGUAGAGGAAUCUCUGAUUUCUCUGAAAAAUCAAGACUUAUUGUGAUGGGGCUUUUUUGCAAAGAAUUUGUUGAAUUUUUUUCUCCGAGUUGACCGAGUUAACUCAGAAUAUCGGUCGACUCAUCCGAGUCCAACCGAUUCAGGCUGAGUCUAGGUAUCUAGUAUCGGACUCGUCGUGGUCAACUUCGAGAUACAAUUCGACCAAGUCGUACGUGACUAGGCUAAUUUUUUGAACCCUGACCGAUGCAAGGCAUGGCUACUUAUGGAUGGUACAUAAAACACCUGGGAGUGAUAUAGGGAAUUGUCAACAAGAAGUCACAAACUGUGGGAGCUAUUGGCUGAGAGCAUACAGGAGCAAGGCAUGAAUCCUUUGGAAAUUGUGGGCACCCAAUGCCAAUUGAGUAUCAUGCCUGCUGCAACUAUAGUUGCUUCCCUGGUUAUUGUAGUUUCCCGUCUUACCAUCAUAUGGCACCACCAAUGCCAUUUCAUUGGCAUGGGUGCCUUCCCAUGUACUCCGAAGCCUCCAAUGCUCUUAUCUCCACUGUCAAACCUACUUCAUAUCACCACCCUUCCCCCGAACCCCUCAUACCCAUUCCUCUCGCUACCCAUAGUUCCCCCUCACGCCCUUUCUCCUAACCCAUCAUACUUUCACCUAGAUCCUCAUUUUUCCUUCACCCCAUGCAUGCUCUUCAGUUAAUGACCAUCAAUCAAUCAAAAUGACCUCCAAGGUGACCUCACCCAUUCACGUACCCUCAUUCUACAUGAUCAAUAAUAAAGGCGGUGUUUCACCUCGGCAUCCGUAUUGUAGCAUCAAUAAUGUCUGAAUUCUUUAGCUCACUAUUCGCGCACACCGGCAAAUAUGCUGCAUUUCGAAACUUGAAGAUGAAUUGUUAGUUAAGAUGAGCAUGCUUCUUGCGUCUGAGAAGGAAACUGGUCUAUUUUCUGACACCGUAACCGGUCACUUGGGCGUCAUCAGUCAAGCAAUGAUCAGCUACAUCACCCACCUGGGCAUUCCCGAUCUCUCUUAUGGAAUGUAUCUCACUCAUGGUCUACAGCUAAGUAGCUCCAAUCAAUAGCAAACUACUUGGUCCCACCUCGUAGAAAUGACAGGGGCCUCCAGAUUCAUAGUUCAGUCUUCCGACAUUUCUCAUGAGGUGUUUCAUUUUAUCUUGCUUCAAGAAAGGAUGAUGGAAGAAUCAAAGAAGCGAGUUGUUGAAGGAGAUCAAUCAGAUGGAAAUGGCAGCAAGGGCAGUAGGUUCGUAACCUUUGACAGUUCUGAUAUCGUGAAGAGCGUUUUGGCCAAUGGAAGUCCACAUUAUGUUUAUGGGGCUAGUGUUCUUGUGAAACCUUACAGAGAAAAGCCAAGAAACCUCAGAUUGUCAUGACCAGAGCAGGCAGCACCAGUGGAUUGCAUUAUGACAUGAAAAUCUGUGCACAAGCUUCAAAUCUGCUUACGUUUGCUGAAGGAUUUGGAACCCGGUUGAAAGGUAGUUGUUCCAACAUGUGAACUUCAAGGCGAAGUAAGACGCAUGCAUGGCCACCCUAGUAGCCACAUGGCUUUCUUUCACUCCAUCUUUGCUUUUUAAAAAUAAUUCCCUACACUCCCAUUCUUUAAAUGAUUUUCCAGAUUCUAGGUUUUUUUUUUUUAAUAAUCUCAACACUAUAAUUUUUCAUCCUCUGAAUUUUUUUAAAUUCCAAAAAAUCCUUCCAUUUUUAAUAAGAUUUGCUGCCAUUUUCUUCGACAAGCAAUUUUCACAUUUUCUUGAUUUUUUUAAAAUGUUUUAAAAUAAACAUAAAUCUAAUUUUGUAAUUCCAAGUGAUGGAAUUUACAGAAUUGGUUCAUGCAGAAAUAAAUCAGGUUUGGUGGGGCCCAACAUGCAUGAUUUUUCUUAUUGAUUGAUUGAUUGAUUGUCAUGCUUGAUUGAUUCGCUUUGUGAUGUACAUGCGAAUGUUCUAUGUUUGUUCAUUAACCUUUGUCCUUCAUGAAGCAGUCAACUCAUUGCUCAAGUACAUUCCUUGUUUCUCUUGUUCAUUUGAUUAUUUUUAGAUCGAUGUUCUUCAGAUAUCCAUGUUUAAUUAAUCAAUUAUCACACGUAUUUCAUCUUAUUUAGUAGAGACCCAUUUUAGGGGCUUAGAGGGGUGCUACGGUCUGUACCAUACCUUCGCAAUAAGUAACCUGACCCCAGAGUCCAGAUUUAGUUUUUUCACAUACCACUUUUUCCAAAUAAGGAGUCACACUUAGGGUUUUCUUUCUUAUUUUAUUUUCCUUUUAAAAAUAAAACAAAAAUAAAUGGCGACUCCAAGUCAUUUUCUAAAAAAAAAAUCAUUUUUAAAUAAAAAUCUAGUUGCACCAUUGAGUGGAAGCACAUGAACAAAAAUGCAGGGUCCACACCACCACAUGGCAACACAGGAACAAAUUCAUAAACAACCAACAACCAUGAACCAACAGUAAGUUAUCAUUUUUUGAAUAGAGAAGAACUACUAAAAUGUGCAGGAAAUAUUUUAAAAAGGAAAAAUCCAUUAACCUUCGUUAAGACUUGAGCUCUAUAAUUUUCUUUUUAAAAAGGAAAAAAUCCAUGAAUAAAAGUUGUAACAUUAUGAAGGUUUUUUUUUCAUAAUAAAAUUAUUUUUCGGUGAUAAUUUUUUAAAGUGUGCAAAAAGAUACAAAACUUUAAUGUUAUGUUUGGUAUUUGAAAAUUUUGAGAGAAAAUGUUGGGAAAAAAAAUAGAAAGUAAAAUUUGAAGGAAAUCAAAGCCCCACUCAAAUGGGCUUGAACCCCAUGGGCGCACAAGACUCUCCCAUACCUCUUCACAAGCACAUUAAGCCAUAGAAAGUGGACUAAUUAAUAAACCUACUAAAGGUGUUUCUUUUUCCUAUGUGGGACAAGCAAAAAAAACAUUUUUCACAUUUAAACUCUUCCUACAUAUAUCACCCUGGAAGGAUCUAGAUCAAAGGGAUAAGUCCCUAAAGCUUGAUCAAGUUUAUGAUGUUCAAGAAUUGAUGAGCAUGAUAUAUAUCAACAUGAUAUUGCAGAAGACAAUAGAGCUUCUGAAAUAUUUCAGGUUCAAUAGUAGGAAAUCUUUUCAGCUGUCACUUACUGUAAUCCUAUGCUCUCAAUAUUCAAUUGUUGAACAAGAAAGAGGCAUCUUGAAAAAAAAAAUUUGCUUUCACACUACUCAAUUACGGGAGAAUGUUCAAUUAUGGAAGAAAAUAAUAUUCACUGGACUUUUUCAACUCACUCAACAUGCAGAGAAAACCAGUUGGGUGACCAAUUAUUCACAUGAUAACUUACAUACAUAGUCUCUCUACGUCUACUUGUUACUCAUCAGCCAAGCUUAUAGUAAUAUAAGCUUGGAUUCAUCUCUCUAUACCACUGAUGCCAACUCUACAUGGACUUCGCCUUCUGGUGAUUUUGCAUUUGGAUUCCGACCCUCUCCAAGUGAAAAGGAUCUAUUCCUUCUUGCUAUCUGGACUGCAAAUGGAAGUUAACCGGUGCCAAGAGGAUCAAAAGUUGAGCUUACCACCAAUGGACAGCUUGUUCUCCUUGGAGGCCAAGAGAUAUGGAAGACAAAGACUGGUAAUAUGAGCAGCGAAGCAGUGCAUGGUGCCAUGCUUGGAGAUGGAAAUUGAAUACCAGUAUAUGGAGAGCUUCAACCACCCAACUAAUACCAUAUUGCCAACCCAGGGAUUGGGUGUUGGAACCUACUGUGCAGUUGCUAUUUUUGAGGACCUGAGGUUUGUAAAUGGAACUGGAAGCUGUUGGAGGAUAAGACUACCUCUUUCAAAUGGGAGGUUGGAUCAAACUGCUGUUGCCAGAAGUGCCCUAAUCAAGAUAUUGAAGUCCAGUGAACUAACUUCAGGCAGAGGCAAGCAAAAUAAAGCAAUUCUAAUCCUCUAAGUCCUGGGCCCCUCUGUUCUUCUUCACUUCUUCGUUGCAAUUCUCUAGUUUUCUACUGCUUGAACCUCAAAAAUCUGCAGCUUUAUCACAGAAUCGUGAGUACAAGCGAUGGUAGAAGCCUUUGGCACUGUCUAUAAAGGGAUAUUACCAUCAGGUUCUGGAAAUUCUGUUGCUGAAAGAAGUUGGAGAAGGUGGUGAGAGAAGGUGAGAAAGAAUUCAAAGCAGAAGUGAAUGUGAUAGGCCAAACUCACCAUAAGAAUCUACGACACUUGCUGGGUUACUGCUGUGAGGGUGAACACUGACUUCUGGUGUAUGAGUUUAUGCACAAUUGCUCUUUAUCAAGCUUCCUUUUUGGAGGUGCCCGAUGACUUGUGUACCUACAUGAAGAAUGCAGUAAACAACUAGACUUGAACACUUCAGGCAUCAGAGGGACUGUGGGGGUAUAUUCAGACCACUCGGGCAGCCUCUAUCUCUUAUAAUAACACAUUAUGAAGCAUCAGCUCAACGCCAGUGUUCAAUCUGCAAAGCAAGGGAUUCAUCAAUGUUUCCUUCAAACUAAAUAAUAAGGAACAGAAAUGGAUCAUUCUGCAUUUUCAGUUGUGUUUGUUAUAGCAUUUAUACAAGAACUUUUGGGGUUUCUAUGUAUGACUUCAUUCCUAUUUUGUCAGUGAAUGUGGUGACGGUGUUACAUUAUAAAUCAUAGUGAAACGGUGGAAUUUGAUCAUUUAGCCAACUUCAUCCAAAACCGUUUGACAUUUGAGGGGAUCAUUAACUUUGCCAUGGGCCAAGCAGCAAUUUCUUAAGAAGCUGGGUAACAAAGAGUACCAUAAUUUGGACUAGUUUCAAUGGAAACUCCCCUGUUUUUGUGCAUGAUAUCUUCAGCUUCAGCUUUUCCUUUGCUUUUGACUAGCCUGAAACUGAUCCAAAUCUCUUCAAUCGAUUAAACGUAUAAAUGAAUCCUAUUCAUUGUUUGAAGUAACAACCAAAUUCUGGAAGACUGGGAAAGUAUGACACUGGAGAGAAAACAAAAUGACAAGACCAUAAAUUCUGGAAGAGGGCUUUGCUUUCUAACCAUUACCAUAAUUUUACAGCUCAACCCGGAUGAAUAAAUUAUAUUUCAGAAUGUUCAGAAGAUAAUUCUAAAGAGAUGGACCUUCUACUCACAGUUUCUUGUUCUUCUUGAACAGAGCAAUGAACAUCAAUAGUUCAGCACCCAGGAAUCUCCCCUUCCUCCAAUUCCUUCACUGGAAAAACUCUACCAAAAUCAGAACAAUCUAUCCUCUUCCCUGAAGGAAGAGUCACCUUCCCAAUCAAGAAAGCCUUGCUCAAAAUCAAAAUACAUCAAGAGCUGCUAUUUUCUUCUAUUUCCUCUUCCUUGAAUAGAAUACCUUUGGACUUAGGCGAUCAAUGGUAACAGUCUAACACACUCCUUAAGCUCUGAUUGAGGUUGACUGGGAUUGGCAUCUUUAAUGACUUUGAAAUCAUAGCUCUGUGAAGGGAGACAAACAUGAAUCACAGGAUCAUCAACAAGUCAACAACUAUCAAUCAGCAAGGAAAAGGAAAUACCUUUGGAUAUUUACCAAUGAAAAAUUUGAGAGUCCAGCUGCUCCGCACAGAAAGGCUUGAGCUUAUUCCAUGGCCCAGGCUUUAGACGGUUCUUAAUUACAGAUAAGAGGGCUGAAUUUUCUUUUAUUCUGCAAUAAGAGUAGAAGCAUCAAUGAAACACUAAAAGUAUAUAUGUAGAAGCCCUUCUAAAUCACCUAAGAGACCCCACAAGCAGAUUUGAAGAGUACAUCAAUGGAAAGUUCCUGAAUCCAUUGUCUAGCUAAUUAUCUUUCAAUUUCUAAGGCUUGAUUUUCCAUUUGUAGUAGAAAAUUUUUCUUAUUACAAUGCCACAAAAUUGGUUGAUCUAAUUAAAACAAAAACGAGGUUCUUGACAGAAAAUGAUUAGGAAGGCAUGCAUGUAACAAAUACAAAUGAUAUAUGAUAUAAGAUUUUCACGGAUUAAACAAAAAUACAUGGCAAAAUAGAAGCAGGAGGAUAAGGUCACAGACAGGACAAUAUUAAAAGAAGCAACUAUUUUUCUGACCUGAAAAUCGAGGCAUUCAGAACAAUAUACAUUUGUAAGUAGUCCAUGGAAACCAAGGAACAUAUGCAGAUGUUGUAUUCUAUUGCAUAAGGCAAACACUCAAUACUCAGUAGCAUAACCAAGGCCAGAAAGCCAUAUAUCCCUUUUUGUUUUGCUUUUUUACCUAUUC